GAGCGGGAGCCACUAGAUCAUGCUGUUCAACAGCAACCAAAAUCGGAUGUUGGAGAAAGAGCAUCAUCUAUGAAACGACGUUGCAGGAAAAAGGUGCAAAAAGUUGGGACACCUAAUCACACUGUUGAUGAUUAUUUUGGUGAAGACUGUGUCGAACCUUCAUUAGCUGAAGAAGAUAACGAUACUGGUGAUCAUUACACUACUGGUAAUAAGCAUAAGGCUAGGAAAAAGUCAAGGGGUGGUGUAGAAGAGUCACAGCAGCAGAAAGCUCAAAAAAAUAAAAGCAAGGUGUCUUCACGGGGCCGCAAACGGACCUUGAAGGAUGAAUCGACAGAGAAGCCUGAGAAGAAGCUAACCCACAGAAUACGUCAGAGGAUACCAAAAGGUUAGUGGCUCAUAAAAAAUCAAUCUUCACUUUUGGAUAAUGUGAGUUUUCACUCUUGUAUCUUGGGUAUCUAUUGUUUUAGAGGUUAAGGCUUUACUGGAAACACCUCGUGAGCAGAUAAAACCCAUGAAGCUUUGUGCAUCACAUCUCAGGUUGUUACAAGAAGCUAGAGAGCGUGUUGAUGUGAGUUUUGUGGCAAAUUUUGUUGUUAUAUUUGUUUUUUGGCUAAUUCUAAUGAUUUUCUUGAUGAUUUCAGCCAAAAGGGAUUCCAUCCGGGCCAUCCUCUAAUACAAGGUAUACUUCUUUUUUUCUUCUAUUUCUCUAUGCAUGUUAUUAUCUAACCAAAUUAGACUUGGGACUUUUGGUUGGGCAUAAAUGAACAUAUUGGACCAGUGUACCACUCCCUACUUUCCAAUUUUCCAUCCAAAUAUGUCAUCUAGCAAAAUAUUUUUGAUAGCGUGUUUAGAUAUCUAUCUUUUUGUAAGGGUAUAUUUUGGUAUUCCAUACUCUCAUCGUUCUAAAUUAUGAUAUUCUGGCUUUUCUAGAUUCAUAGCUUUUGCUAUGCAUCUAGAUAUAUAGAGUAUAAGUUAUUUCAAGAUGACAUUGAUGUUGCUCUUGCUGGAUCCAGAGUCAUUUUUGGCAUCCUUCAGAUUUUUGGACUGCAUCAAAGCCUAUCAUACUCUGCUAGUGCUAUUUAUUUCAUUCUCGGCAUUUCAUUUCAUAUACACCUGUUGAAUAGCCAAGACCCUUCCAAAAUCAACUUUUGAUUGGUUUUGCAGCUUAAAAGCCCCUUUGUGUUAUGUAUUCCAUCCCUGACAUUUUAUUUUAACACCUGGAAAUGCAGCCCAAAAGCCAUGAUUUUUUAAAUGGCUGAUUGGUUUGUCUGAAUUUAAGUUGAAGAUUCAAAUAUCUAAGACAUCCUUGAUCAAAAUUUAAAAUUUUAAAGGUUUAAACAAUGGGUACUAUGGUUUCAUUUUUUUAUUUGCAUUUAUUCGAUUCUUUCAUUAAUAUGUUAUCUUAUGCACAGAAACUUUCAACUAGAUGAUAUGGAUGAUUUGGGCUACAGAGAUGAGGAAGCUAGGUUCUUUGACAACGAUAUAACAGAGGAGCAUGUACAAAAUGCAACAAAAUUGAACUACCAUUCCUACAUGAACAAACCAGCCCGGGGAAAAUGGUCAAAAUCAGAUACCGACUUGUUUUAUGAGGUUUAUUUUUCUUUAGAAAUUAAGCGCUUGGAAUGCUAUAUAUAAUUUCAUAUGAUCUUUGUUCUUCUGCUAAGAUGUUAUUGUAUUAAUUUUGGACCAGGGUCUUCGACAAUUUGGUAUCGAUUUUGCAAUGAUACAACAAUUAUUCCCUGAUAAGACUCGCCAUCAGGUGCGGCAGAAAUUUAAAUCUGAGGAGAGAAAAAAUCCAUUGCUAGUCCAUGAUGCUAUAGUUCAUCGCUCAGGAGGUGAGAUGUCGCUUAAUUAGUGGGUCAACCUGCAUUUUUUUUCUGAUCUCUCAUUUAGGUCAGUGCUUGUCAUUUACCAGUUUCACUUAUGUAUGCAGAUAAUUUGUAUUUCAAAAAGGUAAUUAAGCAGCUCAACAUUGAAGAUGUUGUGCUGCCAGAUAUUAAAAGUACACAAAAACAAGAUGGUGCAUCAAGUGAAAGAGGCCCUGGAAAUGAGGUAUUUCUUGAAGACAUACAUUAUGUUAAUUUUAUCUGAUUAGAUUUAUAACAUAUUUUCUUCGUUUCUAGAAUGUACUGGAUGAUUUAAACGAGGAGGAAAAUAGUUCAAAUUGGUUGAACGAAGAGCAUGACGUACAGAUGGCUGAUGUGGAAGAAGAGCAUGGCGAACAGAUGGAUGAUGUGGAAGAAGAGCGUGAUCUUGGAAAUGAUGGUGGUGAUGAUGAUCUUGGGGAUGUUUUUGAUUGGUACUAGUUUAUGUUAAACAUGGAUGCGAGCGUGAAUAUCUGAGUUGGUCUAGCUCUGCAUGACAGGGGGUAGUUUUUAGGAAAAAAAAAUUCUUUGCAUCCGGGAUACAAAGAAUCUCUUUUAGGGCUGAUUUGGUGACUAGGUAUCAUGAAGGGAUUGGAGGAGAUUGAGAGCCUCCAAUCCCUCAGUGAUCCCUUGUCACCAAAUGAACCCUUAUAGCCUCUAACAUCCACCACCUCGUGGUCCAUAUAAGGGCUUGUUCGGUUAUUCCUGUUCAUGUGGAUUAGAUGAGAUUGGAAAAAAAUAUGAAGGAUUUUAACUUAAACCCAUCCAAUCCACAUGGAUUGAGAGAAAAACGAACAAGCGCUAAAUAGAAGAAAAAUAAAUUACUAUUGGAUUAAGUUGUAAAUUUUGAUCUGUUUUUGUGGACCUUUAAGUGGUGUAUGUGAGUGGCUGUAAAAGAGUGUGUUUGCAUCUGGGAUAUACAGAUUUUUUACCCCAGUUUUUAGAUUUUGCCACAGUUGUACGGUUAGAAUUGUUCGGCUGGACUAUCGCUUGGACUAUCUUGCGCCUCCAAAAACACUGCAAUACUCGAAGAGCGAUGAGUCACCCGACAACAUAUCCAAUUAGCAUGAUUACAGUAGGCCACUAGAUCAAAGUACCUUUAAUAUAGCGAAGAAUGUUUCAUCAGAUCUAGAUGAGGUUCACGAGAGCCAGAUAAGGUUCAUGAGAAUCAUGUAUGAAGAGAUAUAUUUCAUGAAUCACGUAGGUAAUGUCUGAACGAGUGAAGGUAAGAUACUGAAGCUACAAAGUAGAUACCAUCAAGUGGAUAACCAUCAUGAGACAAUUUAAUGAGGACAAACUCUUUUUCUCCUAAAUUAUACAAUCAACCAUAUAAUUCUAAAAAUCUAAACAAAGCAAGUAAUUAUUUCAACAAUGCUAUAUAAGAGAAUGAACAUAUGCUAAGCUUUUCUCACACUUAGAUACUUAGAUGAGUAAAAUCUUCAAUUAUUAUAGAAAAGAUUGGACAGUAGACAAUACCUUCUCUCUUUAAAGUUUAUGGCGCUAUGAACAACACUCCUCUCUAUUUUUAGCACUAGGUGAAGUAGGAAUAGGGCUUAUGGAACAAUAUCUAUUGACGACACCAACAUGUACUAAUGCAUUCUAUGAGGACAUGACCGGUAAAACAGAUACUGACACUUAAAUUAUUACUAGGACGAUGCCCGUGCGUUGCAACAGCGCAUAAAAUUCAAUAAAAUUUCACAAGCUUUAAGCAAGACCAAGAAAAAAGAUCAAAAGGACAUUGUAUAUGACACAUAUGUAAACAAUGCAGAGGUUUCCUUUGACAAUAUUUUUUUCUUCCUUAAGUUUGACCAAUGAAUAAAACAGAGGUUUCCUUUGCUGACAAUGCGCAAAUUCAGAUGGCAUACAUAGUGUGCAUAUGCCACUUAUGUAAAUCAAUAGUAUAAUCAGAUCUGAGAAAGAAAAGCUACCAAGAAGAUCAUUCCAACAAUAGAAGGGGUCCUAGCAAGUAGGAACAAAAAUAUACAAAAGGAUUUGAUUAGCAUUUAGUAGCCUCUCUUCCACGACAUUAUCAUCUGUGAUUGUCCUCAAUUGAUCUCUGGUGCGUUGCUCCACUACCUCAUCUUGAUCUUGUAAAAAACACCUUCUUCGACUUCCUGCCACCAUGAUGUCCUCUCACAAUUGUUCCACGGCAAGGCCAACCUUGGUUGCACCCAGUAUGCUACCAACACCUUCUUGCUCCACCACCUCUCGAUCAAGUGAAGCUCGAGCCGACGCAAUAGAUUCAAUAUUGUACCACCAAAUUGAUCUUUCAAUUUGAGUACCUAUUCGUAAGAUGAUAAAGGAAUGGAAUAAGCAUCAAACCUAAAAAUGAUACAUUAGGUGUAAGAUCAGCACAUGAUUGAUAGUGAGAGGGAAAAAUGUUUCAAACAACUGAGUGCAGGAUCAACACAAAGGUUUGCUCAAAGUUGAGGAGGUUCAAAACCUUUUGCUCAAAGUUAAGGAGGUUCUUUAUCAUGUUACAAAAAAAAGAUAACAAGAAUCAUUGCUAUUACAGGACGAUAGUCAUUAUGGUACUUUUUCUGAUGGUGAAUAUCUGGUAUAGCUAAAAAGUGUCUCUGGUGUGGCUUCACAUAACUAACAGAAAAUUAUGACCGGGGUGGAGACCAUAAUAGAAAAAAUAACUUUGUAGACAGGGAAAUAUUUUCGUGAUUUUAAAAAAAUUAAAAGUGCAGCAUAUAAAACCUAAAAACUAAAUACAAACGCCAACUACAAAAUUUAGAAGACUGUCAUACAGGCUAGCAAAAUCAAUGAGUUGAGCUACCAUUUGUAUCGCCCUAUGUAUAUGUUUUAUAUAUUAUUUUACUAUUGGGGUUGUCAUACCAUGCUGAAUGAAAACUAAAAUAGCCGAGCAUUCUGCAUCAUCCUUAUAUGAGCAUAUAGCUAGGUAAACCAUAGACUUAUACUGUUCAUGGCACCACACAAUUGGCCAAACCCUUCUUUUGUUACUACCUAGGUUUUUUGUCAUGCUGAAGGUUUGAUAAAAAGAACUGCAAUUUUAAGGUCUAAAGUUGUCCCAUUUGCCUUUAAUUAAUUUAAAAAACAAGUUAUAGCAGGUAUCCAAGUGUUCCCGUUACUGCUUCGGGAUAGUCAUAUUCCUAUUACACAUUUGAUAUUUUAUGGUAAUAUUGCAGAAGCAUAUCAUAUACAUGUCCAAAUCUAUGCUCCCAAGUUUUCCCCCUGCCUAUAUUUGCUUGUUGUCUUAUUGACGUGAAAAAUGUCAGACAAUAAAAACUGAACACCUUCAGAGUCUGUUCGGAGUAUAAUAUCUCUUUAACACAAUCUUCAGUAUUUGAUUUAAUUGUUUAUAAACAAAAAGUUGACACACCAUAGCUCAUAUUAUCAAUUUAUAGUCCUACAAUAUUCAUUAUACAAGAACCUUGCCAAGUUUGAUACCUGAAUAGAAGGAUUGCAAGUCAAUAUAAUGGAAAUGCCUAAGCCAUCGAAUGCUUCCAUCCAAGUACCUUCUGCAAGAGUUUCUCUCAGCCCUUUAGACUUUCCAAAUACACUUGUCUGCAUCCUAGAAGCUGCUGUAUCUAAUGGCUGGUAGGAAAGAAGCACAUAUAAGACCAGGCAGCCAAGAUUAAUUUUCAGCAAACCUAUAUCAUUAGUUACCUGUGUCACGAUAACAGUACAAGCACCAGCAGCAGCUGCAACUAACAAGUUGGCUGUUGUUCCAAUAGACUUUGCUCAACUCUUCUCCAAGUAGAGUCUUUUAAAAUAGCUAUACCCAUAAAAAUAAAAAAACGAGGAGACAAAAGACUGAACGUUCUUCGUGUUCAGGCCCUGAUAUAGGGACAAAAAUUGCUUUUUACGAAUCGCUUCCCAAAAGACAUCUGAAAGGUUCCUGAAAAAAAACAUUUGAAGCCAAUUAGUUUGUGUGGAGUCCUCAAAGAAAUAAAUUUGCCUUUUACGAAUUAGUUUGUGUGGUUCUUGAAAAAACAUUGCCUUCAAAUGUAACAACACUCAUGACAUUUGCCUUUAAUUAAUUUAAAGCAAUGUGAAGUCCUCAAAGAACCAGGACAACACUCAUGAUUUUUUAUAACAAAGGGAAUUGUUUAUCAUCAAUUCAUUCUAAAAGACAAGACAAUCAAAUGAACUAAGAAAAGCACGAGAUAUGAAAAUUCACAUGGAGGCACAGAAGGGGACAAUCAAAUCUGUAGUUCUUCAGGUUGAGUGUCCACGACAGGCUCUGCGGAGGAAAGCAAGUCAUCACUGCCACCUCCAGGCACCAGCACCUUUCCAGGAGCACCAGCGCAGCUCAGAACGGUGCCUGCAAAUUCCAAAGCCAGCUCCACUGAUAAGAACCAAGAAACCACCAAUUUGCAGGCUGCGACGACGAGGAAACAAAAUAAGAAGAAAACGAGGAAACCCAUCGGCACAGAAAUUGGAAGUAUCGCUGCAGCGACCGGAAACACUAACGCAUAUCGCCGCAACAAAAUGCAGGAUCUGAGUUUAGGAACCGCGCUCGAUGGCUUCCACUGGUCGAAAUACAGACAUAGGAAUAAGAAAAAAAAAUGCGUGCACGUAUGAGAACCAGAACCACUCAGGAUCCAGGCCAGCACAAACGUCACACAAGCGUAGAGGGAGAAAAGCGAAAAAGAGCCAGCGACCAGCCGACUAAGAAUAGAGGGGGAGGGGUAAGCGAGCGAGCGAGGGAGCGAGCCGUACGAGAGAAGGCGUCCUUCCUCCUGAAGAGCAACGACGGCAAGUCCACCGCACUCCUCCGCUCCCCGCCAGAUCGCGUUGAGCCGCCAGGCCGCACGACCCCGAGCCUUGCGCCGGACACAGCGAACAACGCCAUCCCGCGCCCCACCCAGCAGCAGAUCCCAGUCCAACCACCCGCACGUACGCACGCGCGCACUCCUUCACCCGCGCAGCCCACGGGAAGCGAGUGUGGGGAGUGGCGGCCGAGGAGGAGAGGACGCCGAGGAAGAUCCGCUACAACCGGCGACGCCAUCCCGCUAGCCCGCUACCUCGUCUCUCGCGAGGUGGGGCAGAGGAGAGGGAGGCGUCCGCGCCCGUCGCGGAUUUGAGGGCGCGGCGGAUGCACGAUUUGGGGAGAGGAGGAGGAGGUGGUGGACCUUCCAUCCGCGCGAUUUGGUGGAGCAACCUUCCAUCCGCGGGCGUUGGUGGCGCGGGGUGUGGGGGCGAUGCGGCCGCGAGGACGGCGGCGGCGAUGCGGGCCGAGCUGGACCUGCGGGGCUGAUUUGCGGGAGCGGCGAGGAGCAGGUGGACCUUCCAUCCGCGCGAUUUGGUGGACUGGCAACCUUCCAUCCGCGGCGUCGUUGGGGUUCUGCUCGUACGCGACCUCGGAGUUCUUGCAGGCCAUCUCGAAGAAGAACAGCCGCUCCGCAUCGCUCAUCCCUCCCAUCUCCAUGACGGCCGGGGCGGGGUUCCACGCUCCGGCGGCGGGAUCCGAUUCAGGGGGUUAGGGUUUUAGGCUCUCCUCUUCCUGUGCCCCGUCUCGCUUAGAAUUGGGGAGAGCCUGGAAUCGCGGCUGGGUGGUUGCGGGCGCGAGCGUUGGGCGGGGAAUCCCGGAUGGGUGCGUGCGGGCGACGAGAUCCGCGGGAGGCAGGGGAGAGCGGGGGCAGUCUACAAAUGACUCUUAAUAGUUGUAGAGAUUGGUUAAGGAGCUGAUACUGAUUUUUUUAUAUGACUCUUCACUGGCGUGCGUGCUAGCUUGGACGGCUGCUAUAGGAAGCCUCAGACUCAUUGACAGGAUCUAGUGGUGGAGCGGUAGGGGCUUCAACCCCCUAUCGUUCAUCAAGUCCAUAGAGUUCCUCUACACCUGUCCUAAAUUUAAUAUAUAUAUAUAUAUGUCCCUGUCCAGAUGGGUUGAUGCAAGAUGGAACACAAGCGGGGGAUGAGGCUUAUAUUAUCUUGCACCGGGGUGCUCGUAGUAGGGGUUACAAGCGUCGAGAGAGAGAGAGAGAGAGAGAGAGGGUCUGGCCCUGAGGUGAGAUGUCUGAGUUAGCCUCCUCUGCGUUUCUCCCACUCUGCCUGCCUCUCUUCGCUCGCCCCGUCUGUGCCUUAGGAAGGCCCUGGACAUCCCCUUUUAUAGAUACAAGGAGAUGGCCCAGCUGUACAAUGAGGGUGUAGCUAUGUGCUAACGUGGCUGGCGGAGAAGUGCCUUGAGCCCUGUACGUGUGCUAACGUGGCCGUCGGAGAAGUGCUUGAGCCCUGUAGAAGCAUAGCUGGCGGUGCGGCAUGGAUCCUGCUGACGUUUUCUUGCUUCCGUAUGGGGUUGAGAGCAACCGACGUCAUGGGCGCACGCGGGGAACCAUCAUUACCUAUUACCGGAGUAAUCUAGAUGGGACACCGGUCUUGUUCCUUCGUAGCCUGAGGCAGGUAGCUAGGGGUAGGGUAAUGAUGUAUCCCCUGCGGCGCGGUCAGUCCGAGCCCGAGGUCAGGCGAGGCGGAGACUUCUCCCGAGGCCGAGGCCUGGGGUCGGCUGAGGCUGAGACCUUCUCCCGAGGCCGAGGCCUGAGGUCGGGCGAGGCGGAGCUCCUUGUUGCGCCCGAGGCUGAACUCGGGAGAGGUCGUGACUCAGUUUUGCCCUGGUGGUUGGCACAGUAGUCAGAACGGGGUGAAUAGUGUUGUUUUCCUGACAGAACGUUCAGUAAAGGGGCGAAGUGACUGCGGUCACUUCGACCUUGCCGACUGAGGCGCGCGUGUCAGGAUAAGGUGUCAGGCGAUCUCCGCAUUAAAUGCGCAUGCGAUACGGUCGGUUGGUAAGGCGAUUUGGCCGAGGUCGCUGCACGACAAAGUUUUCCCGAGCUUGGCUUCGGGCGAGCCGAGGGUGCACCCACUGCCUGAGGAGGCCCUCGGGCGAGGCGUGAAUCCGUCCGGGACUACUGUUCCCGCCCGAGGCCGGGCUCGGGCGAGGCAAGGUCGCGUCCCUUUGUAGACGAGGCCUUGACUUGAACCAUGCUUAUCAGUCUUUGCGGUUUGUUCUGAAGAUGUUUUCCAGCCAGGUUAAGGGGCAUUGGGGGUACCCCUAAUUACGGUCCCCGACAGUUGCCCCCGAGCCUCGAAGGGAGUGUAGGUACUCGCUUGGAGGUUCUACCGGAGUUUUUGCAAGGGGACCAGCCCUUCUCGGUCAUGUUCCGUUCCGAGGGGUGCGCGCGAGCGCACCCGUCGGGUGUAGCCCCUGAGGCCUCGGAGGAGUAGUUUGACUCCUCUGAGGUCUUAAUUCUUUUUGUGAUGCCUCGGUCGGCCUUGUUGUUCCCUCAUGCGGCCUGGCCGUAGCCCGGGUGCUCGGUCAGGCUCCAAGUUUUUAAGCUGGUUUGUUGACGUGGUCAACAGUUUGACCGUAGCCUGGUGCGAGAGCAGCCCCCGAGCCUCUGCACGGAGCGAGAGAACGAUCAAGGGCCAUCUCGACUUUUAUUGUACGCCCCUUCGUCGCCUUUCCGCAAGGAGGAAGGGGGGGAAGCACCAUGUUAUCCUCGGAGGGCAUCGAACACGGCGUUUCCAGUGAGUUGCUAACGGGUGAUCCGAGUGGACGCCCGAGCCCCGUUCGAUAAGGGUCGGCUAGUGGCCCAGAGGCACGCUCCAAAAGUACCUGCAGGUGAUUUGCUGGACCCGGACCCAUUUGAUAGGGUCCAAGGGCUCGGUGCCUCCCUCCGGUGGGAUUCCAUUACAAAUCGUUCCCGCUGGUCUCAGAAAUGUCCUAGGGUACCUCGGGAGCGUAGCCCGAGCCUCGGCCAUGUAACGGACGUACCCAAGGUCAUCCCUGACUCUGCAUGCUCUGGGGCGGCUGUCGAACCCUUCCAAGGGGCCAGCCUUUGAACCCCUGAUCAGUAAAGGGCUCAGAGCCCGAGUGCUCUAGGGUGGUUGCCAAACCCCGCAGGGCGCAACCUUCGAACCCCUGAUCAGUAGGAGGGCUCGGGGCCCGUUUCCUUCGCUGAGAAGGAUCCUUUUUCGAAAUAUCCCCUUUCCCGAUCCCUGUGGCAAGAGAGAGAGAGAGAGGAAAAGAAAAAAGGAUAUGAAUUUAAAUAAUGUGGCGCACCUUUUUUGACGCAGUCAUCAUGACAGAGGUGAAACGACGCCCGCUUCGCCUGCCAGAGGUGUCGCUUGCCCUGCCAGGGGGUUAAUGCGACGGGACGGGCGAUUUGCGGGGUGUCUGUUGCGCGUGCACGAGUCGUUCGAGGAACGGAACACGAGUGCGUCGUCUUUACGCUGUGGGAGAGGGCUCCCCUGCCGCUUCAGGAGAGGAUGCGAGCCUGUAGGUGAUUGGACCGCCGCUUCCGAACGUCUGUUGCUGCAGUUACUACCGGCCCACCUUUGGUUAUAUCAACUGUCGUGCCUAUCCCCGCGGUUGAGUGACCUGUGAUCGUCACACUUAAUUGGCACUGUUGGGUCACGCGCAGGGCUGCCUCAAAUCGCUGCACUGAUUCUGCAGUUGAGAAGACGCGGCAUUGGCGCAAGUGGCGGUGCGGUUUCCUUGCACGUAGUAACCGGCGCGCCGGUUACAUGACAUGUGGGCCCGGGCCUCCAUGCUGGACCGUCGGAUGCGAUGAAGCCGAAAUGGUGCACAACCGUGGUGCGGUUGCAUGCUUCUUGCGUGGCGGUCCAUCCUUUCGACCGUUGGUUUCGGCGAGGAUGAGGGAGUGCUUAUAACCGUGGGGCGGUUACAUGCUUCGUGUGCGGCGGUUUGCCUUCUUCGCAUUUCGGGUCAGCUCGUAUGACAUGUGGGACCCUAGCCCCCGUGUCGUAGGGUGAGAACCCUGGAGCACAUCGGUGGAGACUUUGCCCGUGAUGCUUGGGGGAUGCGAGUGAGGAGAUCUGCCUUUAAAAAGGGAUCGAUCCCCCGGGCAGUAGCCAUGCCUUCGCACUCCUCUCAUUCAUCGCGCCCUUCCACCUUCCGAUCCCCCAGAUGGGGUGCACCUGUAUUGCCUUCUUCUUGCUGCUGUUGGAGGAGCGCGACCUCGUGGGGAUUGGCGCUCUUCAGUCAUCGCUCGGCUUCAAGGAUUUUCAUCAUACAACCCGGCUGCAGUCCCCUACCGGCGGUCACCCAGGAUGAUGACCGUAGGCCUCAUGGUGGGGAAGAGCGAGCUGGGCCGUGGCCUCCCCCCUGUCCUCAGCUUCAAGGAUGUUCAUCAUCCGUGCUGGGGAGAAGGGCGCGCCGAGUUGGGUCCCGCCUUCGCAUGGGCAGCGGCCCGCUCCUUCCCUCAGUGUUCGGGGGAGAAGGGCGUUCGCCGUCCGUGGCGGAGGUCGUUGUCGCUGCUGGUGAAGUGGUCGCCGGCGAGCCGCCUGGAGUUUGUUAUCCCGCAUGCCUUCUGGUGUGGAGGUUGUUCAUUCCUGCGGGAAUGGAGCCGGAGUCCCGUUUGUAAUGGUACUUUCUUGAGAGCAAGAUGUAAUAGCUUUAAGUACUAAGACAUCUGCCGCAGGUCGGGAAAACCGCCGAGGGCGCUGCUGACGCCUAAGUCUAGGUACCAUAGUUAUCCCAAGUACGUGUGUUUGUUCUUUGUGGCUGCUGAGGCCUGAACAUUUGGGUAUUCGAGUACAAAGCCGUGCUUCUUUCCUCUUGUUUCGAGCAUUAGGACUUGUUCGUUGGUAGCAGAAUCACUUAUCCGAGCGUGAGCUACCUUUCGCGGAAGGUGAUGAGUAAGGUAUCCGUAUCCCGGAGGCGUAGGAGUCCCUCGGCUCGGUCGGCCUUGCCGCUCAAGGUCUCUCUCGCUCGUUUUUAGGAUUCCGUUAUCGAUAUAGUCGAAAGGCACGAAAGUCGUUUUGGCGGAAAACUUUUUCGAGGAAAAUUUUGACGCAGAGGGAGUUCCCUCCUCUUCUAGACCCAGGUGACCGCUUGGGCCGGUACCCUUACGGAGGGCCUGGCCGUGGCCGUCGGGUCUGGUCGGUCUACCCAAGCCAUGACCUCACAGCAGCGUGCCCGGGCCGUAGGUAUGUUUUGCCCGCUUCGUGACUUUGUUUUUUGUCUUCAUUCUUCUCUUGUGUCUGAAGAACAUUGUCCGGCUGUCUGCAGGGUUCGAGACGGCUCUUAACGAGUCCGUCAAGAACUGCAAGGCGCUUGCCCAGGCGGCUGAGCAGAAGGAGGCCGACCGCGUGGCCAUGUCCGAGGCUAUAUCGACCUUUUGCCGGGCCUUCGGCCUCGACGAUGUCCCCUUGGGUAGCUCCCCCCAGAGUCACCUGUGAGCCUUGGGCGGCCAUGUGCGCAGCAGACUCCGCGGGGCGCUGCACCACGGCGUUAGGCGGGCCUUCGCCGUUCUCGCUUCCCACUACGACGUGGAUCUGGAGCGGAUCAACGAGGGGUACUGCUUACCCGACAAAGAGGAGGCCGCCUUAGUCGAGGUCCAGAGGCUUGACGCGGCUGUCGAGGGCCCAAGCGCGACGCUGGCUUCCUCCUUUGAGGUUGAAAUCCUUCCGCCCGUGUCGUCGUCUGAGGCCGGGCUAGAUUCUGCCGAGGGUAGAAACAACGCCGAGGGUGUUGCUCCUCCCCCUGCCGAUGUCUGAGCCUACAGGAACAAUUUGUUUUAAGUAUGCGUAUGUUUUUUGUGGCCGCUGAGGCCUAAACAUUUUUAUUUUCGGAUUAUAAUGCUGUGUUUUCUUUCCUCUCGUUUCGUGUGUUAGGACUUGUUCGUCGGUAGCAUAAUCGCUUAUUCGAGCGCGAUUUACUUUUCGCGGAAGGUGAUGAGUGAGGUAUCCGUAUCCCGGAGGCGUAGGAGUCCCUCGGCUCGGUCGGCCUUGCUGUUUACGUGUUCCUCUCGUCAUUUUUAGGAUUCCGUUAUCGAUAUAGUCGAAAAGCACGAAAGUCGUUUUGGUAAACUUUUCCGAGGAAAAUUUUGACGCAGAGGGGGUUCCUCCCUUCUAGCCCCCGAGGGAGGGUCGGGCUUUGCCGAGGCAAGGCUGAUCCUUACUUGAUGGUUAGACUUUAUUUAUGCAUGUAAAGAAAGUGAGAUACAUGAACGACUUGAAACAUUUUAAGGAUAAAAGCGACAUAGCUGUUCGAUGUUCCAAGCGUUGCUGUAGACCUCACCUUGAUCGUUGGCCAGCUUGUAUGUCCCGGGCUUCAAAAUCUUAGCGAUGAUGAACGGCCCUUCCCAGGGAGGAGUAAGCUUGUGGCGCCCUCGGGCGUCUUGUCGCAGCCGAAGUACCAAGUCUCCCACUUGGAAGCCUCGGGGUCGAACCCUUCGGGCGUGGUAGCGUCGCAGAGACUGCUGUUACCGCGCCGAGUGUAGUAAGGCCACGUCCCGAGCCUCUUCCAGCUGGUCCAAUGAAUCCUCUCGACUGGUCUGGUUGUUUCGGUCGUCGUAUGCCUUUGUCCUCGAGGAACCGUAUUCUAAGUCCGUGGGUAGGACGGCCUCGGCCCCAUAGACUAGAAAGAACGACGAGAAACCCGUGGCCCGGCUCGACGUCGUCCUCAGACUCCAAACCACCGAGGGUAGUUCUUUUAUCCACCGCUUGCCAAACUUGUUGAGGUCGUUGUAGAUCCUCGGUUUUAGUCCCUGCAAAAUCAUACCGUUGGCGCGCUCCACCUGCCCAUUUGUCAUUGGGUGAGCUACGGCGGCCCAGUCCACAUAGAUGUGGUGGUCUUCGCAGAAGUCCAGGAACUUUUUCCCAGUGAACUGCGUGCCGUUGUCGGUGAUGAUGGAGUUUGGGACCCCAAAGCGGUGGAUGAUAUUUGUGAAGAACGCCACCGCCUGCUCGGACCCGAUGCUGGUUAAGGGUCGGACCUCGAUCCACUUGGAGAAUUUGUCGAUGCCGACCAGCAGGUGCGUGAAGCCCCCGAGUGCCUUCUACAAGGGACCGAUGAGGUCCAGACCCCAUACGGCAAAUGGCCAAGUGAUAGGUAUUGUCUUCAGGGCUUGAGCGGGCAGGUGCGUCUGUCUCGCGUAGAAUUGACACCCUUGGCAGGAGCGUACAAUCCUAGUGGCGUCGGCCACCGCGGUUGGCCAUUAGAAACCUUGUCGGAAAGCGUUUCCCAUGAGGGCUCGAGGUGCUGCAUGGUGACCGCAAGCCCCCGAGUGUAUUUCUUGUAACAGCUCCUAUCCUUGGGCGACAGAUAUGCAUCGUUGGAGAAUGCCUGAGGGGCUGCGGUGGUACAACUCUUUUUCAUCACCCAGUAAAACGAAUGACUUGGCGCGCCGAGCCAGUCGCCGAGCUUUGGCCUUGUCGAGGGACAGCUCUCCUCGGAGGAGAUAUUCCAGGUAUGGGGUCUACCAGUUUUGGUUUGGCGCAACCCCGUUCUGCUCUCCCUCAACGCGCAGGGCCUCACCCUCGGCGGCCGAGGGUACCUCGGGCUAGGCCGAGGUCUCCUCGGGUUCGGGCGCGUCGUCGAUUUUGACAGAUGGUUGAUAUAUGUCCCUGGAGAAGACGUUCGGGGGAACCGUCGUUCGCCCCGAGGCUAUUUUUGCCAGCUCAUCCACGGUCUCAUUGUACCGCAAGCAACAUGGUUGAGUUCCUGCCCGUAGAACUUAUCUUCCAAGCGCCGAACUUCGUCGCAAUAGGCCUCCAUUUUUCGAUCGUGGCUGUGGGAGUUCUUCAUGACCUGGUCAAUGAUGAGCUGCAAGUCGCCACUAGCGUCGAGGCGCCGAACCCCUAGCUCGACGGUGAUGCGUAGUCCAUUAACCAAGGCCUCGUACUCGGCCACGUUGUUUGACGCCGAAAAAUGGAGGCGCAGUACGUAGCGCACAUGUUUCCCAAGGGGUGAGAUGAAGAGCAAGCCAGCACCUGCUCCUGUUUUCAUAAGCGACCCAUCGAAGUACAUGGUCCAAAGUUCGGGCUGUAUUGGAGCUAUCGGCAAUUGGGUGUCGACCCAUUCAGCCAGGAAGUCUGCCAAGACUUGAGAUUUUAUGGCCUUCCGAGGAGCGAAUGAAAGUGUUUCGCCCAUGAGUUCCACUGCCCAUUUUGCUAUCCUACCCGUGGCCUCUCGACACUGGAUGAUCUCUCCCAGGGGGAAGGAUGACACCACAGUCACCGGAUGAGACUCGAAGUAGUGUCGCAACUUUCGCCGUGUCAGAAUCACUGCGUACAGUAGCUUCUGGAUUUGUGGGUAGUGGAUCUUGGUCUCCGAUAGCACCUCGCUGAUGAAGUAGACCGACCUCUGGAUGAGCAGUGCAUGCCCCUCUACUCGUCUCUCGACUACGAUCGCGGCGCUGACAACCUGAGUGGUUGCGGCUACGUAAAUCAAGAGGGCUUCUCCCUCAGCGGGGGGCACCAAGAUGGGCGCAUUAGUAAGGAGUGCUUUAAGGUUUCCGAGGGCUUCUUCGGCCUCGGGGGUCCAAGUGAAGCGCUCGGCCUUCCUUAAGAGGCGGUACAAGGGCAAUCCUUUCUCGCCGAGGCGCGAGAUGAAGCGGCUCAGAGCCGCAAGGCAUCCUAUGACCCUUUGUACUCCUUUUAAAUCUUUGAUUGGUCCCAUGUUGGUGAUGGCCGCGAUUUUCUCCGGGUUGGCCUCGAUGCCUCGUUCGGAGACAAUGAACCCUAGGAGCAUGCCUCGGGGGACUCCGAAGACACACUUCUCGGGAUUGAGUUUUACGCCCUUCGCUCUUAGAUACCUGAAUGUUAUCUCGAGGUCAGAGAGGAGGUCGGAGGCUUUUCUUGUCUUGACAACGAUGUCAUCGACGUAAGCCUUGACCGUUCUGCCGAUGUGCUCUCCGAACACGUGGUUCAUGCACCUUUGGUAGGUUGCUGAAAGGGAAAUAGGCUUACACCUUUUCCUAAAUUGAUUUUGGUGGUUGAAUUGCCCAACACAAAUAAUUGGACUAACUAGUUUGCUCUAGUCUAUAAGUUUAUAGGUGUCAAAGGUUCACAACAAGCCAAUAAAAGACCAAAGAUGGGUUCAAAUAAAGAGAGCUAAAGACAUCCCAAAGGCACCCUGGUCUGGUGCACCGGACUGUCCGGUGCACCACCGGACAACGUCCGGUGCACCAGGGAACUCGACGCUGAACUCCUCACCUUCGGGAAAAUGGGAGGCCGCUCUGCUAUAAUUCACCGGACUAUCCGGUGAAGCACCGGACAGUGUCCGGUGUGCCAGUGGAGCAACGACUACUUCGCACGCAAUGGUCGACUGCAACGCAUUUAAUGCGCGCUUGCGCGCGCAGAGGACAGAGCACACGCAGAAGGCGCACCAGACAGUCUACAGGACCUAUCCGGUACAUCACCGGACAGCCCAGAGGCCCCACCAGUCAGAGCUCCAACGGUCAGAACCCAACGGCCUGCUGGCGUGGCUGGCGCACCGGACUGUCCGGUGCGCCAUGCGACAUACAGCCUCCCAACGACCACUUUUGGUGGUUGAGGCUAUAAAUACCCCAACCACCCCACCAUUCAUUGCAUCCAAGUUUUCCACCUUCAACACAUUACAAGAGCUAUAGCAUUCAAUUCUAGACACAACCAAAGUGAUCAAAUCCUCUCCCAAGUACGGAAUCACUCCAAAUCAAAUAGUGACUAGAGAGAGCGACAUUUGUGUUCAUUUGAGCUCUUGCGCUUGGAUUGCUUCUUUUCUUUCUCAUACUUUCUUGUGAUAAACUCAAUUGUAACCGAGGCAAGAGACACCAAUUGUGUGGUGGUCCUUGCGGGGACUUUGUGUCCCGUUUGAUUGAGAAGAGAAGCUCACUCGGUCUAAGUGACCGUUUGAGAGAGGGAAAGGGUUGAAAGAGACCCGGUCUUUGUGACCACCUCAACGGGGAGUAGGUUUGCAAGAACCAAACCUCGGUAAAACAAAUCCUUGUGUCUCACUCUUUAUUUGCUUGCGAUUUGUUUUUGCCCUCUCUCUCGGACUCGUUCAUAUUUCUAACUCUAACCUGGCUUGUAGUUGUGCUUAAUUUUAUAAAUUUCAGAUUCGCCCUAUUCACCCCCCUCUAGGCGACUUUCAAUUGGUAUCAAAGCCCGGUACUUCAUUAGAGCCUAACCGCUCGAAGUGAUGUCAGGAGCAUCCGCCAAGAGGGAGAUCGGGACCGACGAGAAGCCCGCCUCAAGCCAUGGGAAGGCUCCAUCCGGGGAGUCCGGUAACAAGGUGAAGGGAUCCCCUUCACACGACAAGUCGCGUCGGAGCGGCGAGAAGAAAAAGAAGAUGAAGAAAGUUGUCUACUACGAGACCGACUCUUCAUCGCCAUCCACCUCCGGCUCCGACACACCGUCCGUCACUUCUAAGCGCCAUGAGCGCAAGAAGUUUAGUAAGAUUCCCCUACGCUAUUCUCGCAUUUCAAAACAUACUCCAUUACUUUCCGUCCCAUUAGGCAAACCACCGGCUUUUAAUAGUGAAGAUUAUAGUAGGUGGAGUGAAAUGAUGAAGUUUCACCUAACCUCACUCCACACAAGUAUAUGGGACAUUGUUGAAUUUGGAGUAUAGGUACCAUCCGUGGGUGAUGAAGAUUAUGAUGAGGACGAGGUGGCCCAAAUCAAGCACUUCAACUCUCUAGCAACUACUAUACUCCUCACCUCUCUAAGUCCGGAGGAGUAUAAUAAGGUGCAAGGGUUGAAGAGCGCCAAGGAGGUUUGGGACGUGCUCAAGACCGCACACGAAGGAGAUGAGGUGACCAAAAUCACCAAGCGGGAGACGAUCGAGGGGGAGCUCGGUCAAUUCCGACUCAACCAAAGCGAGGACCCUCAAGCCAUGUACAACCGGCUAAAGACCUUGGUCAAUCAAGUGCGCAACCUCGGGAGCAAAAAAUGGGAUGACCAUGAAAUGGUCAAGGUUAUUCUUAGAUCACUCGUUUUUCUUAACCCUACGCAAGUACAAUUAAUACGUGGUGAUCCUAGAUACACCCUAAUGUCUCCCGAGGAAGUAAUAGGAAAAUUUGUGAGCUUUGAAUUGAUGAUCAAAGGCUCAAAGAAAAUCAUCGAGCAAGAUGGCUCCUCCACGCCCGAAGCACAACCGGUCGCAUUCAAGGCGACGGAGGAGAAGAAGGAUGCGUCCACAUCAAGUAGAGUCCCCAUCGACGCCUCCAAGCUCGACAACGAGGAGAUGUCACUCAUCAUCAAGAGCUUCCGCCAAAUCCUCAAACAAAGGAGGGGGAAGGACUACAAAUCCCGCUCCAAGAAAGUGUGCUACAAGUGUGGUAAGCCCGGUCACUUUAUUGCAAAAUGUCCUUUAUCAAGUGCAGUGACAGGGAUAACGACAAGAAGGGCAAGAGGAGAGAAAAGAAGAGGUACUACAAGAAGAAUGGCGGCAAUGCCCAUGUGUGCCGCGAGUGGAACUCCGACGAGAGCUCCUCCGACUCCUCCGACGAGGACGUCGCCAACAUCGCCGUCACCAAGGGACUCCUCUUCCCCAACGUUGGCCACAAGUGCCUCAUGGCAAAAGAUGGCAAAAGGAAGAAGGUAAAAUCAAAAUCCUCCACUAAAUAUGAAACCUCUAGUGAUGAGGAUAACUCUUGUGAUGAUGAGGAUAAUUUGCGCAUCCUUUUUGCCAACCUAAACAUGCAACAAAAAGAAAAAUUAAAUGAAUUAAUUAGUGCUAUUCAUGAGAAGGAUGAACUCUUGGAUUCUCAAGAGGACUUCCUAAUUAAAGAAAACAAGAAGCAUGUUAAGGUUAAGAAUGCUUACGCUCUAGAAGUAGAAAAAUGUGAAAAACUAUCUAGUGAUCUAAGCACUUGCCAUGAUAUUAUUGCCAACCUUAGAAAUGAAAAUGCUAAAAUAAUUGCUAAGGUUGAUUCAAAUGUUUGUGAUGUUUCAAUUCCCAAUCUUAGAGAUGAUAAUUGUUGGGGACUUGUUCUCAAAUGCUAUGAGUUAAGAACAAGGCAACAUAGAAAAUGUUAAUCGUUAAAGUCCUUCGUCCUUCGAAGCAUUAUUUCCCUUAGGAUAUAAUGGUUUUUGGACGAAGGUUAUGGAAGGGCGUACCUUCAUAAAUUCAUUAUACAGUGACGAAGGUUAAAAUGUAGGGAAUACAAAAGACAACAUAAACAAUUAUAUAUUAUCAUGUAUAAACAGAAAUAUCGUUGAAUUAUAAAUGUACCUUCAACUUGAAAGAGAUGAUAGUACAAGCGUGACGCAAAAAGUGAAUGCCAAGUCAGCGUGAACAGUACGGGAGCACUGUUCAUCUAUUUAUAGGCACGGGACACAACCCAUACAAAAUUACAUUCAUGCCCUUUACACUUGAUAAUAAUUCUAUAGUAAUCUAUCGGGGUCUAAAUAGCCUUUUCAUCUUUAAGUCGGUUUCACUUUUUGCUGCCACGCCGAAGCUUUCCUGCUCACACCUUCGGCGCUGUAUCAACCUUCGUAUUAUUCUGGUCUACUGUGAUGCCGACUUGAGUCCGAAGAUACCUGUUCACACAUUAUACUCCAGAAAUACUGUUAAAUCCUGUUUUUGAGGACCUUCGGAAGCCGAAGGUCCCCAACAGUAGCCCCUCGCAAUAUUAAUUUGUUUUAAAAUAAUAAAUUUAGAUUGCGACAUGGACGAAGGUUUUACGCCGAAGGUCCGAAAAAACACCUUCCCUUUGCUAGAAUAGCAACAUUCACUGACAAGCGGGGUCUUUCAAUUUUCAACGCACUUGGCGUAUAAAUACGGUCAUACCGCAAGCUCAUUUGACACGCUCUCUGGCCAACUGCUCCCGCUCACUCAAUUUUUAGCUCUUGUGCACUAAGAUUUGCUAAGCUUUUAGUUUUGAAGCUUCGGCUUUGAAAAUAGUUUUUUAGUGUCUCCGAAGAUGUCUGAAGAUAAGAAGACUGCUGCUGAGAUGAAGCUGAGCCUCGACGAAGAGAAAAACUUGGGGUUUCUUAUAGCGAUGUCAAAAACCAAUACAGAAAAAAAUCACCAAGGAAAUUCUGGAGGGUUUGUCUGAAGAUACUGGUGACAGUGUGUUGUGGACUCAUUCUUCUAUAGGAACACCUAUGGGCGCAGGCACAAGAAGGGAACCUCCACCAAUAAGGCAACCGAGCUAGAAGAGCUGGAAGAAUAGGAAAGGAAGCAAGCAAUCAGGCAGCCGAAUUGGAAGCAAUCAGGCGAGUCCUAUCUCCAGUAUAUCAAUCAGUAGUUUCCUAUUUCUGCUAUAGCAGACAGUAGAGUUUCCUAUUUCCAUUAUAGAAAGUAAUAAGUUGAUUGGGUGUGUUCCCUGCCGCCUAUACUAUAAAGGCUGGCUGCUAGUUUGUAAGAAGGCAUCGAAGAAUAAUACAGUUACCUCCUAGAGGUGGGCUGUUCUUCGACGGUGGCGCCUUCAGCCGCCGGCGAUGACAGACCUCCUCGCUACGUUCUGCGUUCUUGUUCUCAAGCCGCUCUCCUCCUCCACUCUCCCCUGCAUACCCCUCGCCUACCACCACGCCGCAGCCAUAACAAAUUGGUAUCAGAGGCAAGUGCCCCGACCAUGUCCAGCGUCGCGGGCGAUCCUGAGCCUGAUUCGGUGAAGCUGGACCGCAUCAGCGCGCUGCUCACAACCAUGAACAACCGCCUGAACGCGCAUGACCAGCGCAUCGCGCGCACGGAGAAAUUUCAGUCCGGUGAUGAAGGGGACCACGAGCCGCAGGGUUCGCCUGAUCGUCGACGACACGGAGGCACGGAGGAAGGCAGCUUCAGUGGGGGCCGCGGGAAUGGCCCUCGACGUCAUGACAGCAGUGGCCCACGCGAACCCAACCUCAACUUCCCGCACUACGAUGGUGAGUCGGAUCCGCUCCCAUGGUUGAACAAGUGUGAAGGCUUUUUUCGCGGCUACCGCACGCUGCAGGAGGAUAAGGUGUGGAUGGCCUCUCUCCAUCUCGACGGCACGGCGGCACAAUGGUACUACCAGUUGGAGCGUGAUCUCGGCAUCAUCACGUGGUCGCGCUUUGUCGAAUUCACCAACAUGCGCUUCGGCCCGCCCAUCCGCUCCAACGCGCUUGGGGAGUUGAAGGAGCUCCACCGUACCGGCACGGUGGAGGAAUACCAGCGCCAGUUCUUGGCUCUCCUGUGCCGCUGCGACAACCUGACCCGGCAGCACCAAAUCGACUUGUUCACUGCCGGGUUGGGUCAGCCCUUGUCAUCCGACGUCGAGAUGCAACAUCCGGCGAACCUUCAGACAGCCAUGAGUCUGGCCCGGGCCUUCGAGCGCCAUUCCGCCGAGGCGGCUCGCGCCAUCUACCCGUCCACGCCGCGCCAGCCUUCCCGUCCUCGUCCACCGUCAACGACACUAGCACCGACGACGGAGGAACCACAGCGACCCCGCGUUCGUCGGCUGUCGGCUGAGGAGAUCGCCGACAAACGUGCCAAGGGGCAAUGUUAUUUUUGCCCGGAGAAAUUCUCCCGGGAUCACAAGUGUGCGGCGCGGGGCGGCGUGUUCUGUCUGUCCCUGGACGACGCUGCGUCAGAGGACGACAACAUCACGGAGGAAGUCUGCAUCUCGCUGAACGCGUUGACGGGGGUCCCUGCUGGUGACACCAUCCGUCUUCGCGUCAAGAUCCAAGGGGAAGAGCUGACGGCACUGGUGGACUCCGGCUCCACCCACUCCUUCAUCAACCAGGGCGUCACCCACCGACUCGGCCUCGACAUCACCCAUCGGCCGGGUCUGGUGGUCACUGUUGCUAAUGGACAGCAGCUGCACAGUCCGGGCAUCUGUGCAGCAAUGCCAUUGGCCAUCCAGGACCAGACGUUCUCCAUCGACUGCUAUGCCUUAGCUCUCGAGGGCUUCGACGUCGUCCUCGGUGUCCACUGGCUCAAGACGCUGGGACCCAUUACAUGGGACUUCACGGCGCGAUCCAUGGCUUUCUGGCACCAUGAUCGUGCCGUCAUGUGGCGUGGGAUCGGUGGUGAGGAAGUUAGCCUUGCUGCUCUGACGGCGACCAGAUACCUCAUGAAUUCAUUACUGCAAGAUUUUACUGACCUAUUUGCAGAACCGCGUGGACUACCGCCCGCGUGACGCCAUGACCAUCACAUUCAUUUGUUGCCGGGUACGAGUCCCAUUGCAGUCCGACCGUACCGAUACCCGCAGCUUUUGAAAGAUGAGAUUGAGCGCCAAUGUCAGGAAAUGCUGGCACAGGGGAUUAUUCGGGAAACCACAUCCCCUUUCUCCUCCCCUGUUCUCCUUGUGAAGAAGCAUGAUGGUACUUGGCGAUUUUGUGUGGAUUUUCGGGCCUUAAAUGACAAGACGGUCAAGAACAAAUUUCCUAUCCCAGUGGUCGACGAGCUCCUUGAUGAGCUGUCGGGCGCUUGUUUCUUCACCAAGAUUGAUCUCCGCAGCGGGUACCACCAGGUCCGGAUGCAUCCAGAGGACAUCGCCAAGACCGCGUUUCACACGCAUCAUGGCCAUUUUGAGUUCCUCGUCAUGCCUUUCGGCUUGACGAACGCGCCAGCAACAUUUCAAGCUCUCAUGAAUACCAUCCUCAAGCCAUUUCUCCGCCGGUUCGUUCUAGUCUUUUUUGAUGAUAUACUCAUCUAUAGUUCUUCUUGGGAGACACAUGUGCAGCAGGUCAGGAUGGUUUUUCAGUUGUUACGCGCCAACUGCCUCUUCAUCAAGCAGUCUAAAUGUUUCUUCGGCGAACCAACGGUGGCCUACCUAGGCCAUAUUAUCUCCAAGGAAGGCGUGGCCAUGGACCCAUCCAAGGUGGCGGCUGUGGAGGCAUGGCCACAACCGCGGACUGCACGGGCGCUGCGGGGUUUUCUUGGCCUCACCGGGUACUACCGCAAGUUUAUUGCGGGGUACGGUGCGGUGGCCGAGCCCUUAACUGCUCUCCUCAAGGGGGCGGCUUUCUCCUGGACUUCCCAAGCGGCAUCGGCCUUCCAAGCUCUGAAGAAGGCGCUAGUGUCUGCUCCACUGCUCCGACUACCAGACUUCUCCAAGCGCUUCUACGUCGACUGCGAUGCUUCGGGCUCCGGCUUUAGCGCGGUGCUGCACCAGGGAGAGGGCGCCGUGGCUUACUUCAGUCGCGCCGUGGCCCCUCACCACGCCAAGUUGCCCGCAUAUGAAAGAGAGCUGAUCGGCUUAGUCAAAGCCGUUCGCAAUUGGAGGCCAUACUUGUGGGGAAGGUCAUUCACAGUCCGCACUGAUCAUCGCAGCUUGAAGUACAUAUUGGACCAACGUCUGACCACUAUUCCACAGCACACUUGGGUCAUGAAGCUAUUUGGUUAUGAUCUAGAUGUGGUGUACCGCCCAGGGAAGCAAAAUGCAGCAGCAGAUGCCUUAUCUCGUCGGGAUGAGGAGGCCUUCAGUAUUCAUGCCCUAUCGACAACAUCCUUUGCAGUUUUUGACGCAAUUCGUCAAGAACUCCUUGCUGAUCCAAGAGCACAAGAAAUUCGGGCCCAGUUAGCCAGUGGCACUGCACUAGCAGGGUGGACGGAGGUGGAUGGACUGCUGUUAUUUCAGGGCAAAGCAUAUGUUCCAGAUUCAUCUCCCCUAUGGCCACAGCUACUGGAGAAUGCACAUACAGCAGGACAUGAGGGUAUUCAGAAGACACUCUAUCGUCUUCGGUUAUCCUUCUUCAACUCUCACAGCAGCCGUUUGGUCAGAGAGUAUGUCAAAGGUUGUGGAGUUUGUCAGCGCAAUAAAACUGAGCACUUGCACCCAGCUGGACUGCUGCAGCCCCUGCCAGUUCCCUCUUCUGUUUGGAGUGAUAUUGCCAUGGACUUCGUUGAGGGCUUUCCCAAAGUUGGUGGGAAAUCAGUUAUUUUGACUGUGGUGGACCGGUUUUCCAAAUAUGCUCAUUUCAUCCCACUCAGCCAUCCAUAUUCAGCCACCGUUGUUGCCAAAGCCUUCUUUGAUGAGAUUGUUCGGCUACAUGGGUUCCCAUGUUCUAUUGUUAGUGACCGGGACCCGGUUUUUACUAGCAUUUUUUGGACUGAAUUAUUCCGUUUAGCAGGGGUGACAUUGCUUCUCAGUUCAGCUUUUCACCCACAAACGGAUGGGCAGUCGGAGGUCACUAAUCGCAUUAUCACUAUGUAUCUUCGUUGCUUAGCAGGAGAUCGACCUCGUUCUUGGCUACAGUGGUUACCGUGGGCAGAAUUUUGCUACAAUUCUUCCUUCCAAACAGCUAUUGGUGUUUCUCCUUUCCAGGUGGUUUAUGGCCGGCCUCCACCAACCUUGCUGCAAUUUGAACAGGGGGCGGCAAAGGUGGCAGCAGUAGAAGCCCAACUCAGAGAUAGAGAUGAAUUCCUUGCUGAAAUCCGUGAUCGGUUAUUGUUGGCUCAAGAGGUAAUGCGUGCUCAGCAUGAUAAGAAGCACCGGGAGGUUGUCUUUGCAGUAGGAGACUGGGUUUGGCUCCGUUUGCAUCACCGCACAGCCGUGGGUAUCACUCCAGCUCGUGCCACCAAGCUGGGCCCUAAGUACUUUGGACCUUAUGAAGUGCUAGAGCAGAUUGGAUCAGUAGCUUAUCGUCUUCGUUUACCAGCAGCAGCUCGCAUCCAUAAUGUGUUUCAUGUGGCUCUUCUUAAGCCUUUCGUGGGUACCCCUCCGGUGGGUGAUCCAGUGCAGUUGCCAUCUCUUGUGCAUGGAAGAGUGGUUCCUAAACCCUUGAAGAUCAUUCGUGCUCGUCUCAACCAUGGAGUAUGGGAAUUGUUGGUACAUUGGGACGGACAGACAGCUGUUGAUGCUUCUUGGAUUUCACUAGAAGAAUUCAAGAAAGAAUAUCCGGUGUUUCAGCUCGAGGACGAGCUGUUCCAGGGGGAGGGGGGAAGUGUUGUGGACUCAUUCUUCUACAGGAACACCUAUGGGCGCAGGCACAAGAAGGGAACCUCCACCAAUAAGGCAACCGAGCUAGAAGAGCUGGAAGAAUAGGAAAGGAAGCAAGCAAUCAGGCAGCCGAAUUGGAAGCAAUCAGGCGAGUCCUAUCUCCAGUAUAUCAAUCAGUAGUUUCCUAUUUCUGCUAUAGCAGACAGUAGAGUUUCCUAUUUCCAUUAUAGAAAGUAAUAAGUUGAUUGGGUGUGUUCCCUGCCGCCUAUACUAUAAAGGCUGGCUGCUAGUUUGUAAGAAGGCAUCGAAGAAUAAUACAGUUACCUCCUAGAGGUGGGCUGUUCUUCGACGGUGGCGCCUUUAGCCGCCGGCGACGACAGACCUCCUCGCUACGUUCUGCGUUCUUGUUCUCAAGCCGCUCUCCUCCUCCACUCUCCCCUGCAUACCCCUCGCCUACCACCACGCCGCAGCCAUAACACAGUGACAGUUAUGAUGUGGACAGUGGUGGUGAAGACUCCGAAGAUCGUCCCUGGCGACCAAGCCAUUCAGUUUAUGGUAAAUCAACUAUCAAAGAGAAUCAUCUUGUGAACAUGAGAGGAAGGUAUUUCCGGGAUUUGUCCAUUGUGAGGGCCGACGAAGGGGAAAAAACUUGUCCACACCCUGAAGAAAAUGAAGUCGUAGUGUACCGAAGCUUUUUGAAAGCUGGACUGCGAUUUCCCUUGAGCAGCUUCGUUGUGGAGGUGCUGAAAAUCUUCGAAGUCUAUCUUCACCAACUUGCCCCUGAGGCAAUCAUAAGGCUGAAUAUCUUCGUGUGGGCCGUAAGAAGCCAAGGUCUGAAGCCUGAUGCAAAAAGCUUCUGCAAUAUACACGAAUUAUCAUACGAAACAAAACCUUGGGGUAAGGAACAAUAUCAUAAUAAUUUUGGCUGCUACAGUUUCGUUUCUCGGUCCGGGUCAAGCUGUCCCGUGCCAACCUUUCGGAAGAGAUGGCCCGGAGACUGGAUGACAGAAUGGUUUUAUGUGAAGAAUGACCUGUCAGUACGAGAAGAUAUCAAAGGUGUAAUUAUGCGCCCUAUUUGGCAAAGCUUCGGCCUUCGGAGGCCGAAGGUUGAAAUGAAUGAAGCUACCGAAGAAUGCCAGAGGGCCUUCAGCGUUAUCUGUUCUUUUAUUGGAACAAGAGAUUUAGUACAAGAGCAUAUUGCCUUCAGGGUAUGGCCGCUCGCGGAGAAAUGGGAAAUGCCACAAGAAACCAUAAAGGAGGCCGACGAAGGUGGACUUAUCAGGCUGAAGUACACUUUUAAGUUUGGAGAUAAAUUCGUUGAGCCAGAUGAUGACUGGUUAAAAAGUAUUGAAAAUUUAAGUGAUGAACUGCUUGGGGCUUAUUCGAAGGCCGAAGAUACUGCAAUGUCAGCAGCCUUCGGAGGCCGAAAAAAGAAGAGGCUGAAUCGGGUAUUUGAUGCAAUCGGGUUCGUCUACCCUGACUAUUGCUAUCCCAUUCGAAGGCAGAAGAGAAAAAACACAACCUCUACAAAAGAAGAAGCUGCAACUGCUCUUAGCGAGCCAGAACCAAAAAGAAAGAAGAUUAAGGUCCUCACACAUCGGCCACGCUAUAUUGAACCAGCUUCGGUGCCUGAGUUUACCGGAGAAACUUCUUCGGUCACCGAGGCUAAAAAGCCAACCAAACCAACCUUGCUGCCAGAAGUUGCAGAAAUGGCCGAAACGCCAAAGAGGAUAGAAUUGGAAGAACCGAAGAUUUCGCUACUAGAAACCGAAGAAAUGGCCGAAGCGCCAUCCACAGAAAAAAUGGGAAAAGUGAAAAAACCAACUGAAGAAAAAACAUCAGAAGUUGUGAGUCCUGCAGCAAAUGUUGAGACAGUAAAAAAUCAAAAAGUGUCAGCAGUGACUCCGAAAAGAAAGAGAAUGGCUAAUGUGCUAGAUGUACUGGAAACAAUCAAAUCUUCAAGCACACCUCCGAAGAAGGCUGCUGUCAUUCCUGAAACAACAACUAAAAUUUCUGAUACUAAAACUCCAGAGCAAGAACCUGAAGCCGAAGCUGGUUCCUCAGAGCCCGCAAAGAUAAAAUCCUUGGAAAGUGAGGCAGAAAAAAUAACAAAGCCAACUUUUGUUGAAGAAAUCAGUGUCAUUGCCCCCGAAGCAUCCCCCAAAGUUCGCGAUUAUAUUGUUCGUCAUGCUUCGGGGAAAAAACUAUCAGAAAAAGAAGAGCAAGAGGCCCAGCGCUACGCCCAAAAACUGAAGUAUCCAAAGGGGGCGUUAAUAUUCAAUGGCAGUGGAGAAGAAGACUUUUUGUAUUGUCUCCCUGACAGCAAAGAAAUUUCUGUCUGCCGGGAGAUGAGCAAGAGCUUCGGAUUCCCAACACUGGAAGACGGGCUCUCAGUGUUAUCGAAAAAUGAUUUGGCCGACAGCCUAGCAUAUAAUAGCUUAAAGGUACAACAAAUGGAAUCUUUGUAAUUUCUUGCUGGGACCAAAAUUUUUCCUUUAGUUAAAUCUAUUGACACACACAUAUUUCUCUUUGCAGGGCUUGAUACUUAGCAAUGCCCUCAGGGCACAGAAAGAUGCUGAAGACGAAGGGUGUACUAUAGCCCUAAGCAACCUUCGUUCCGAAGUAAUUGAAUUGAGGAACGAAGGUCUCGAAAAAGAUAAGAUAUUACAUUCAUUGAUAAAUAAAAUAAAAGAAGACGAAGCUGCUUUUAAAAGUCAAGCUGAAGCUCAGAAGCGCGAAAUUGAAGAUCUUCGGAAACAACUGGCCAGAGCCAAGGAAGAACGCAUACUUGAAGAAACAAAGCGAGAACUCAGCGACCAAUGGGCAGAUCACUUAGAAGGAACUGUUGAAGAGCUUCGGUCAUCCAAGAAGAGAUGCUAUAACAAAUCUAUAGAGUUUGUUAAGAAGUUAAAGGCUAGCUUCGCCAGGGUCGGCGCCUUCUCAAGCGAAGAAAACUUUUCAAGAGGCAAUCCAGAAGGUCCCAUCGAAUGGAUCGACCAUGAAGCUGAGGCCUUCGAAGAAAUUUUAAAUAGCCGUGGAGACAUAUGUGCUUUCUCUGGUGCCAGAGGAAUUGCCACCAUUUUAGAGAAGAAGGGUUGCGAACAUGUAAAAAUUUUAGCACAAUCCGAAGCUGCUUUGUCCUUUGAAGAUGCAAGAGAUCCUUCGGCCGAAGCUAGCAUGAUUGGUGGAAAAUUUUUCACCGAUAUCUGGGAUAAUGGUGGCCGAGAAAUGGCCGGAGAAAUUAUUCAAAAAAGUGAAAAGGGCAUUCACGAUGCUAGAGAAGUGGCUGAGGCUGCUGAAAAGAGCGCAGAGCCCGAAGGUCAAUUAGGUAUUAACUAAUAGUUUUUAUUGUGUUGUAAUUUUAGGUUUUAAAAUUCGUUUGCAAUUUGUAAUAGCAAUGUAGCCGUAUCCUGUCCUACUUCAGAUUCUGCUAAAGCGUCUUCGGGCCCUCAGCCGAAAGGAGAUGACGAAAUAAAAAAGAUGGCUGAAGCUAUUAUGGACGAAGUCGUCAAUCGGCUCCUGAACGAGGCUGCAGAAGUCGUUUUGAGAGAGGAUUAAGUAUUAUUGUAAAAACUUCUGAAAUGUAAUAUAUUGUAACAUUUUGUAACCCUGAAUGUAAUAUACCUGUUUUUAUUGCACAAUUCUUUACGAUGCAUGAAACUUUAUACGUACCGCUUUUGAGUCUUUGACGAAAAAACACCUUCCCUUCUUUUCAUGCUUCGUGAAGAAGAAUUUGUCUUUGUCACAACAAUGUCCAGUGUUCUGAUGAAUAAUAUCCAGACUUCGUGAAGAUAUUUUCCGAAGCUACACCUCCGAAGAUCAAUAAUGUAUCUCUUUGUGACAUUAUGAUUUUUCCCUUUUUUCAAAACGUUUCCCCUUUCUUCAAAACGUUCUUCUGUAGAUUAAUAUUGUGUCCAUCUCUUGUGCCAUAUGCAACAUGAUGUAUGAUGCUUAUGCUAUGCGAAAUGAUGCGAUGAUGUUAUGUUAUGUGAGGUGAUGUUUAUUCCGAAGAUGUACGCACAUCCCUGCAAUAAAACACAAUCUUUUAUAAGCCUCCCUUAGGAGCUUCUUCGCCUUUUACUUCAGCGGAAUCAGCGUUUAUUUUUCGCUGUAAGCCUCCCUUAGGAGCUUCUUCACCUUUUACUUUCAGCGGUAUUCGCGUUGACUUUUCGCGCUUCGCCUUUUACUUAGGCGGUAUCAACGUUGACUUUUCGCUGUAUGCUCUGCAUUCCCUUUGGAACGACUUUGGAGCAGAAAACUUACACUGCGCUCCCUUUGGAGCGACUUUUUGUGAUUUCAGCAAACUUACUCUGCGUUCCUUAGAACGACUUUUUGUUGCUUCGAAGAAUUUUCGAUAAUCCGAAGGUCCUCUUUGUUAUCAUAAACCUUUAAACUUCAACAACUUAGGCCUGUGAAGAGAAUAUAUUUUCCUUUUGGCAAACAACGAAACUAUAUUCAUGAAAUCUAAAUAAUGUCCUUUAUUACACAGAAAAGAAGACUGAAUAAGAAAGACUGCUAUUUAGGUAGGAUAUUUGUCAAUAUAUGUGCUUUGACUCUGGUACAGUGCUGUUGACUGUACGAGCUUCGGACUGCUCUCUGAAGUCCCUUUGGUGUGGAGCAUACUGACUCCCUUCUGGCUACUGGCCUUGUUGCAGCGGAGGUGGAGGCGGAGGCUGUUGCCAGGAAGCUUGAGGUUGACUCGCCGAAGCAACAGAAACUGCAGGGUGGUUGCCCACAUAUUCUGGGAUGUAAGGUGAAUGAUACGAAGCAGUAUGCAUGACCUGCUUCGGCUGAGCUUGCUGUGCUGCGGCUUCGGCUAUUUCCUUUUGCUUCUGGAUGGUAACAUGGCACAUCCUGGUGGUAUGGCCUUUGUUCUCACCGCAAAACAAGCAAAAAAUUCUUCUUAGUUGAUCCCCGAAUCUUCCGCCGAAGCCCCUGGCGCCUCUGCCUCUUGGGGCUGGUGGUCGGAAGGGCCCUUGCUGUUGCCCCGAAGCCUGUGAGGAACACUGUGGCCUUUGCUGUUGGCUCCCUCGAUCAUCAUUUUGGGCAGAGUUGUGGAUUGAUCUAACAUGCCUCGGAUAGAACCUUCCUCCGAAGCCCCUGGUCAUCUCAGAAAACCUAAAAGCCUCCUCCCUUCUUUGGCGGAAAUCAUUAUCGGCCCGAAUGUACUCGUCCAUCUUCUGGAGCAGCUUCUCCAAAGUUUGAGGGGGCUUCCUAGCGAAGUACUGAGCUGACGGUCCUGGCCGAAGCCCCUUGAUCAUGGCCUCAAUGACAAUUUCAUUGGGCACCGUUGGCGCCUGUGCCCUCAAACGCAGGAACCUCCGGACGUACGCCUGAAGGUAUUCUUCGUGAUCCUGGGUGCACUGGAAAAGAGCUUGAGCAGUGACCGGCUUCAUCUGAAAUCCUUGAAAACUAGUUAACAGCAAGUCCUUCAGUUUCUGCCAUGAAGUGAUCGUUCCUGGUCGAAGGGAGGAAUACCAGGUUUGAGCAACACUCCUGACAGCCAUAACAAAAGAUUUGGCCAUGACUGCAGCAUUGCCACCAUACGAAGACACUGUUGCUUCGUAGCUCAUCAAAAACUGCUUCGGGUCUGAAUGGCCGUCGAAUACGGGAAGCUGAGGCGGUUUGUAGGACGAGGGCCAAGGUGUAGCCUGCAGCUCAGCAGACAGAGGAGAAGCAUCAUCGAAAACAAAAUUCCCAUGAUGGAAAUUAUCAUACCAGUCAUCUUCGUUGGGGAAACCCUCCUGAUGAAGGUCUUGGUGCUGAGGCCUUCGGUGCUGCUCAUCCUGAGCAAGAUGACGAACUUCCUCAGAGGCUUCGUCUAUCUGCCUUUGCAGCUCAGCUAGCCUAGCCAUCUUUUCUUUCUUCCUCUGCACUUGUUGAUGAAGCAUCUCCAUGUCUCUGAUUUCUUGAUCUAUCUCGUCCUCUGGCGGUGUCGGGCUAGUAGCCUUCCUUUUCUGGCUUCGGGCCUCCCGAAGAGAGACAGUCUCCUGAUUGUGGUCCAGCGGUUGAAGGGCUGCAGUGCCAGUUGCUGAAGCUUUCUUCGGCGCCAUAACGAAGGUUUAUGAUCGCCGAAGGAGUUCAGAAAACUCAGACUGUGGAAGUGAGUUCACCGGAGGUGGGCGCCAAUGUUGGGGACUUGUUCUCAAAUGCUAUGAGUUAAGAACAAGGCAACAUAGAAAAUGUUAAUCGUUAAAGUGCUUCGUCCUUCGAAGCAUUAUUUCCCUUAGGAUAUAAUAGUUUUUGGACGAAGGUUAUGGAAGGGCGUACCUUCAUAAAUUCAUUAUACAGUGACGAAGGUUAAAAUGUAGGGAAUACAAAAGACAACAUAAACAAUUAUAUAUUAUCAUGUAUAAACAGAAAUAUCGUUGAAUUAUAAAUGUACCUUCAACUUGAAAGAGAUGAUAGUACAAGCGUGACGCAAAAAGUGAAUGCCAAGUCAGCGUGAACAGUACGGGAGCACUGUUCAUCUAUUUUAUAGGCACGGGACACAACCCAUACAAAAUUACAUUCAUGCCCUUUACACUUGAUAAUAAUUCUAUAGUAAUCUAUCGGGGUCUAAAUAGCCUUUUCAUCUUUAAGUCAGUUUCACUUUUUGCUGCCACGCCGAAGCUUUCCUGCUCACACCUUCGGCGCUGUAUCAACCUUCGUAUUAUUCUGGUCUACUGUGAUGCCGACUUGAGUCCGAAGAUACCUGUUCACACAUUAUACUCCAGAAAUACUGUUAAAUCCUGUUUUUGAGGACCUUCGGAAGCCGAAGGUCCCCAACAAUAAUGUUAAUUUACUUGCUAAGAUUGAAGAAUUGAAUGUCUCUCUUGCUAGCCUUAAGAUUGAAAAUGAAAAAUUAAUUGCUAAGGCUAAAGGCUUAGAUGUUUGCAAUGUUACAAUUUCCAAUCUUAGAAGUGAAAAUGACAUUUUACAUGCUAAGAUUGUUGAACUAAAAUCUUGCAAACCCUCUACAUCUACUGUUGAGCAUGUUUCCAUUUGCACUAGAUGUAGAGACAUUAAUGUUGAUGCUAUUCAUGAUCACCUAGCUUUAAUUAAGAAACAAAAUGAUCACAUAGCCCAACUUAAUGCCAAAAUUAAUGAGCAUGACUUAGAAAAUGAAAAAUUUAAAUUUGCUAGAAGCAUGCUCUAUAGUGGGAGACGCCCUGGCAUCAAGGAUGGCAUUGGAUUCCAAAAGGGAGACAAUGUCAAACUUAAUGCCCCUCCUAAAAGAUUGUCUAACUUUGUUAAGGGCAAGGCUCCCAUGCCUCAGGAUAACGAGGGUUACAUUUUGUACACUGCCGGUUAUCCCGAGCACAAAAUUAGGAGAAUUCACUCUAGGAAGUCUCACUCUGGCCCAAAUCAUGCUUUUAUGUAUAAGGGCGAGACAUCUAGCUCUAGGCAAUCAACCCGUGCUAAAUUGCCUAAGAAGAAAACUCCUAUUGCAUCAAAUGAUUCUAACAUUUCAUUUAAGACUUUUGAUGCAUCCUAUGUUUUAACUAACAAAUCCGGCAAGGUAGUUGCCAAGUAUGUUGGGGGCAAACACGAGGGAUCAAAGACUUGUGUUUGGGUACCCAAAGUUCUUGUAUCUAAUGUCAAAGUACCCAAAACCGUUUGGGUACCUAAAAACAAGAACUAAAUUUGUUUUGUAGGUUUAUGCAUCCGGGGGCUCAAGUUGGAUCAUCGACAGCGGGUGCACAAACCAUAUGACAGGGGAGAAGAAGAUGUUCUCCUCCUAUGAGAAAAACCAAGAUCCUCAACGAGCUAUCACAUUCGGGGAUGGGAAUCAAGGUUUGGUCAAAGGAUUGGGUAAAAUUGCUAUAUCACCUGACCAUUCCAUUUCCAAUGUUUUUCUUGUAGAUUCUUUAGAUUAUAACUUGCUUUCAAUUUCACAAUUGUGUAAAAUGGGAUACAACUGUCUUUUUACGGAUGUAGGUGUCACUGUCUUUAGAAGAAGUGAUGAUUCAAUUGCAUUUAAGGGAGUGUUAGAGGGUCAGCUAUACUUAGUAGAUUUUGAUAAAGCUGAACUCGACACUUGCUUAAUUGCUAAGACUAACAUGGGCUGGCUCUAGCAUCACCGACUAGCACAUGUUGGAAUGAAGAAUCUUCACAAGCUUCUAAAGGGAGAACACAUUUUGGGACUAACAAAUGUUCAUUUUGAGAAAGACAUGAUUUGUAGCGCAUGUCAGGCAGGGAAGCAAGUUGGUGUUCAUCAUCCACACAAGAACAUCAUGACGACUGACAGGCCACUCGAGCUCCUACACAUGGACCUAUUCGACCCGAUAGCUUACAUAAGCAUCGGCGGGAGUAAGUACUGUCUAGUUAUUGUGGAUGAUUACUCUCGCUUCACUUGGGUGUUCUUUUUACAGGAAAAAUCUCAUACCCAAGAAACCUUAAAGGGAUUCUUGAGACGAGCUCAAAAUGAGUUCGGAUUAAGGAUCAAGAAAAUAAGAAGCGACAACGGGACGGAGUUCAAGAACUCUCAAAUCGAAGGCUUUUCUUGUGGAGGAGGGCAUCAAGCAUGAGUUCUCUUCUCCCUACACGCCACAACAAAAUGGUGUAGUGGAGAGGAAGAAUCGAACUCUAUUGGACAUGGCAAGAACCAUGCUUGAUGAGUACAAGACUUCGGAUCGGUUUUGGGCGGAGGCGGUCAACACCGCAUGCUACGCCAUCAACCGGCUGUAUCUACACCGAAUCCUCAAGAAGACAUCAUAUGAACUCCUAACCGGUAAAAAGCCCAAUGUUUCAUAUUUUAGAGUCUUUGGUAGCAAAUGCUUUAUUCUUGUUAAAAGAGGUAGAAAAUCUAAAUUUGCUCCUAAGGCUGUAGAAGGCUUUUUACUAGGAUAUGAUUCAAACACAAGGGCAUAUAGAGUCUUUAACAAGUCCUCUGGGCUAGUUGAAUUUUCUUGUGACAUUGUGUUUGAUGAGACUAACGGCUCUCAAGUAGAGCAAGUUGAUCUUGAUGAGCUAGAAGAUGAAGAGGCCCCGUGCGUCGCACUAAGGAACAUGUCCAUUGGGGAUGUGUGUCCUAAGGAAUCCGAAGAGCCUCCACAAGCACAAGAUCAACCAUCUUCCUCCAUGCAAGCAUCUCCACCAAACCAAGAUGAGGAUGAGGCUCAAGGUAAUGAAGGAGAAGAUCAAGAGGAUGAGCCACCUCAAGAGGAGGGCAAUGAUCAAGGGGGAGAUGCCCAUGAUCAAGAUGAGGAAGAUGAACAAGUUCCAAGACCGCCACACCCAAGAGUCCACCAAGCAAUUCAACGAGAUCACCCCAUGAACACCAUCCUCGGCGAUAUUCAAAAGGGGGUAACUACUAGAUCUUGUGUUGCUCAUUUUUGUGAACAUUACUCUUUUGUUUCCUCUAUUGAGCCACACAAGGUAGAGGAAGCGCUUCAAGAUUCGGAUUGGGUGGUGGCGAUGCAAGAGGAGCUCAACAACUUCACUAGGAAUGAGGUAUGUCAUUUAGUUCCACGUCCUAACCAAAAUGUUGUAGGAACCAAGUGGGUCUUUCGCAAUAAGCAAGAUGAGCAUGGUGUGGUGACAAGGAACAAAUCCUGACUUGUGGCCAAGGGAUAUUCACAAGUCGAAGGUUUGGAUUUCGGUGAAACCUAUGCACCCGUAGCUAGGCUUGAGUCAAUUCACAUUUUACUUGCCUAUGCUACUUACCAUGGCUUUAAGCUUUAUCAAAUGGACGUGAAAAGUGCCUUCCUCAAUGGACCAAUCAAGGAGGAGGUCUAUGUUGAGCAACCUCCCGGCUUUGAAGAUAGUGAGUACCCUAACCAUGUUUACAAACUCUCUAAGGCGCUUUAUGGGCUUAAGCAAGCCCCAAGAGCAUGGUAUGAAUGCCUAAGAGAUUUUCUUAUCACUAAUGGCUUCAAAGUCAGAAAGGCCGAUCCUACACUCUUUACUAAAACACUUGAAAAUGAUUUGUUUGUAUGCCAAAUUUAUGUUGAUGAUAUCAUAUUUGGGUCUACUAACGAAUCUACAUGUGAAGAGUUUAGUAGGAUCACGACACAAAAAUUCGAGAUGUCUAUGAUGGGGGAGUUGAAGUACUUCUUGGGAUUUCAAGUGAAGCAACUCCAAGAGGGCACCUUCAUUAGCCAAACAAAGUAUAUUCAAGACAUUCUAAACAAGUCUGGGAUGAAGGAUGCCAAGCCCAUCAAGACACCCAUGGGAACCAAUGGGCAUCUCGACCUUGACACGGGAGGUAAAUCCAUCGAUCAAAAGGUAUACCGGUCGAUGAUAGGUUCUUUACUCUACUUAUGUGCUUCACGACCGGAUAUUAUGCUUUCCGUAUGCAUGUGUGCAAGAUUCCAAGCCGACCCUAAGGAAGCUCACCUUACGGCCGUAAAACGAAUCUUGAGAUAUUUAGUUUAUACUCCUAAGUUUGGGCUUUGGUACCCUCGGGGUUCCACAUUUGAUUUAAUUGGUUAUUUGGAUGCCGAUUGGGCGGGGUGUAAAAUUAAUAGAAAGAGCACAUCGGGGACUUGCCAGUUCUUGGGAAGAUCCCUAGUGUCUUGGGCUUCAAAGAAGCAAAAUUCUGUAGCUCUUUCUACCGUCGAAGCCGAGUAUAUUGCCGCAGGCCAUUGUUGCGCGCAAUUGCUUUGGAUGAGGCAAACCCUUAGGGACUAUGGUUACAAAUUAACCAAAGUUCCUCUUCUAUGUGAUAAUGAGAGUGCAAUCCGCAUGGUGGAUAAUCCCGUUGAGCAUAGCCGCACUAAACACAUAGCCAUUCAGUAUCAUUUUUUAAUGGAUCACCAACAAAAGGGGGAUAUCGAGAUUGCAUAUAUUAACACCAAAGAACAAUUAGCCAAUAUCUUUACCAAGCCACUAGACGAACAAACAUUCAACAAACUUAGGUGUGAGCUAAAUAUUCUCGAUUCUAGGAAUUUCUUUUGAUGUUUUGCACACAUAGCUCAUAGAUAUACCUUUGAUCAUAUCUCUUUCAUGUGCUAUGACUAACAUGUUUUCAUGUGUAUUUCAAACUAAGUCAUAGAUUGAAAGGGAAACAGAGACUUCGGCGACGACAAAGGCUUCCACUCCACUCCAUCAAAUUACUCAUCCUUCGCCGUCGCUCCGCGCCGCUCUCCGUCUUUGGUAUAAUCUUCACUCAUAUUUUGUUCGCCAAAGGGGGAGAAAGUAGCUAAAAGGGCCUAUAUUUCACUCAAGUAUCCGUUUUUGGCGAUUCAUGCCAAAGGGGGAGAAAGUAUUAGCCCAAAGCAAAAGGACCGCACCACCACCGAUUUUCAAAAUUUGAGUUAAGAAAAGAUUUUUGAAAUGAUGAAUUUUUCAAUUGGUAUCUUAUUUUUGAUAGAAUUUCAAAUUGGAACACCCUCUUCAAAAACUAAUAUCUAAAACCCUCUUGAACACUAAGAGGAUGAUUUUAUUGAGGGGGAGUUUUGUUUAGUCAAAGGAAAAGCAUUUGAAAUCGGGGGAGAAAAUUAUUAAAUCUUGAAAAUGCUUCUCAAAAUCUUAUUCAUUUACCUUUGACUAUUUGCAAAAGGACUUUGAAAAGAAUUUACAAAAGAAUUUGCAAAAACAAAACAUGUGGUGCAAGCGUGGUCCAAAAUGUUAAAAAUAUAAAGAAACAAUCCAUGCAUAUCUUAUAAGAAUUUAUAUUGGUUCAAUUCUAAGUAACCUUUGCACUUACAAUUAUGCAAACUAGUUCAAUUAUGCAUUUCUAUAUUUGCUUUGGUUUGUGUUGGCAUCAAUCACCAAAAAGGUGGAGAUUGAAAGGGAAAUAGGCUUACACCUUUUCCUAAAUUGAUUUUGGUGGUUGAAUUGCCCAACACAAAUAAUUGGACUAACUAGUUUGCUCUAGUCUAUAAGUUUUACAUGUGUCAAAGGUUCACAACAAGCCAAUAAAAAGACCAAAGAUGGGUUCAAAUAAAGAGAGCUAAAGACAUCCCAAAGGCACCCUGGUCUGGCGCACCGGACUGUCCGGUGUGCCACCGGACAGUGUCCGGUGCACCAGGGAACUCGACGAUGAACUCCUCACCUUCGGGAAAAUGGGAGGCCGCUCCGCUAUAAUUCACCGGACUGUCCGGUGUCACACCGGACUGUCCGGUGUGCCAGCGGAGCAACGGCUACUUCGCACGCAACGGUCGACUGCAACGCAUUUAAUGCGCUCCUGCGCGCGCAGAAGACAGAGCACGCGCAGAAGGCGCACCGGACAGUCUACAGGACCUGUCCGGUGCACCACCUGACAGCCCAGAGGCCCCACCAGUCAGAGCUCCAACGGUCAGAACCCAACGGCCUACUGACGUGGCUGGCGCACCGAACAGUGUCCGGUGGUGCACCAGACUGUCUGGUGCGCCAUGCGACAGACAGCCUCCCAACGACCACUUUUGGUGGUUGGGGCUAUAAAUACCCCAACCACCCCACCAUUCAUUGCAUCCAAGUUUUCCACCUUCAACACAUUACAAGAGCUAUAGCAUUCAAUUCUAGACACAACCAAAGUGAUCAAAUCCUCUCCCAAGUCCGGAAUCACUCUAAAUCAAAUAGUGACUAGAGAGAGCGACAUUUGUGUUCAUUUGAGCUCUUGCGCUUGGAUUGCUUCUUUUCUUUCUCAUACUUUCUUGUGAUAAACUCAAUUGUAACCGAGGCAAGAGACACCAAUUGUGUGGUGGUCCUUGCGGGGACUUUGUGUCCCGUUUGAUUGAGAAUUGAAGCUCACUCGGUCUAAGUGACCGUUUGAGAGAGGGAAAGGGUUGAAAGAGACCCGGUCUUUGUGACCACCUCAACGGGGAGUAGGUUUGCAAGAACUGAACCUCGGUAAAACAAAUCCUUGUGUCACUCUUUAUUUGCUUGCGAUUUGUUUUUGCCCUCUCUCUCGGACUCGUUCAUAUUUCUAACGCUAACCCGACUUGUAGUUGUGCUUAAUUUUAUAAAUUUCAGAUUCGCCCUAUUCACCCCCCUCUAGGCGACUUUCAGUUGCACCUGCAUUCCUCAAGCCAAAUGGCAUAGUAGUAUAACAAUACAUGCCGAAGGGUGUGAUGAAAGAAGUCGCAAGAUGGUCGGAUUCUUUCAUCUUGAUUUGGUGAUAGCCUGAAUAGACAUCGAGGAAAGACAGGGUUUCGCACCCAGCAGUGGAGUCCACAAUUUGAUCGAUGCGAGGUAGAGGGUGGGGAACCUUUGGACAUGCUUUGUUUAAACUAGUGUAGUCUAUGCACAUCCUCCAUUUCCCUCCUUUUUUCUUUACAAGCACAUGGUUAGCUAACCAUUCUGGAUGGAAUACCUCUUUGAUGAACCCUACAACCAUUAGCUUGUGGACCUCCUCGCCUAUGGCCCUGCGCUUUUCUUCUUCAAAGCGGCACAGGGGCUGCUUCACGGGUCGGGCACCGGCUCAGAUGUCCAGCGAGUGCUCGGCGACAUCCCUCGGUAUGCCGGGCAUGUCCGAGGGACUCCACGCAAAAAUUUUGGCGUUUGCACGGAGAAAGUCGACGAGCACUGCUUCCUAUUUGGGGUCAAGCUCGGAGCCGAUCCUGACUUUCUUGCCGGCGUCGUUGCUGGGGUCGAGAGGGACAGACUUAACCACCUUGGCCGGUUCGAAGUUGCCGGCGUGGCGCUUCGCAUCUGGCGCCUCCUUGGAGAGGCAAUCCAGGUCGACGAUGAGGGCCUCGAACUCGGCGAUGGCCUCAGCGUACUCCACACAUUCCACGUCGCACUCGUAAGCGUGGCGGUACGUGGAUCCGACGGUGAUGGUUUCGUUGGGGCCUGGCAUCUUGAGCUUGAGGUACGUGUAGUUGGGGACGACCAUGAACUUGGCGUAGCACGGUCUUCCCAACACCACGUGAUAGGUCCCUCGGAACCCGACCACCUUGGAAGAGAGGAUUUCCUUUCAGAAGUUGGAGGGAGUUCCGAAGCAGACGGGCAAAUCAAGUUGCCCAAGGGGCAGGACACGCUUACCGGGGACGAUCCCGUGAAAAGGUGCUGCAGGGUCUAGGCGUAGAUGAUGUUGAGGCUGCUGCCUCCGUCCAUGAGGACCUUGGUGAGCCUAGCGUUGCCGAUGACAGGGUCGACGACGAGCGGGUACCUUCCUGGGCUCGGUACGCAGUCGGGGUUGUCGCCUUGGUCGAAGGUGAUGGGCUUGUUGGACCAGUCUAGGUAGACCGGCGCCGCUACCUUCACCGAGCAGACCUCCCGGUGCUCCUGCUUGUGGUGCCGAGCCGAGGCGUUCGCCACCUGUCCGCCGUAGAUCAUGAAGCAGUUGUGGACCUCCGGGAACUCCUCUUCCUUGUCGCCCCCCUUCUUGUUGUUGCCUUGGUCCUUGCCACCUUCUUCCGAAGGUCCAGCCUUGUUGAAGUAACGCCGGAGCAUGUCACAUUCUUCAAGGGUGUGCUUGACGGGACCCCUGUGAUAGGGGCACGACUCCUUGAGCAUCUUGUCAAACAUGUUGGCCCCUCCGGGAGGCUUCCGAGGAUUCCUGUGCUCGGCAGCAGUGACGAGAUCCGCGUCAACGGCGUCGCGUUUUGCUUGCGCCUUCUUCUUGGCCUUCUUCUUCGUGCCACGCUGGACGGACGCCUCGGGGGCAUCUUCCUUCUGUCUUCUCUGAGGCUGCUUGUCCUUCUAGAAGAUGGCUUCGACCGCCUCCUGACCAGAGGCAAACUUGGUGGCGAUGUCCAUCAAUUCACUCACCUUGGUGGGAGUCUUACGUCCCAGUUUGCUCACCAGGUCUCGGCAAGUGGUGCCGGCGAGGAAUGCCCCGAUGACGUCCGAGUCGGUGAUGUUGGGCAACUUGGUGUGCUGCUUUGAAAACCACCGGAUGUACUCUCGAAGGGAUUCCCCUGGCUGCUGGCGGCAGCUUCGGAGAUCCCAUGAGUUCCCAGGGCGCACAUACGUACCUUGGAAGUUUCCAGCGAAGGCCUUGACUAGGUUGUCCCAGCCGAAGAUCUGCGCGGGAGGCAGAUGCUCCAGCCAGGCCUGGGCAGCGUCAGAGAGGAAAAGGGGGAGGUUACGGAUGAUGAGGUUGUCGUCGUCCGUCCCUCCCAGCUGGCACGCCAGCCGACAAUCCGCAAGCCACAACUCCGGCCUUGUCUCCCCUGAGUACUUGGUGAUGGUGGUCGGGGCUCGAAACCGGGCCGGGAACGGCGCCCGUCAUAUGGCCCGGCUGAAGACUCGCGGACCUAGUGGUUCGGGCGAGGGGCUCCGAUCCUCCUCACUGUCGUAGCGUCCUCCGCGCCUGGGGUGGUAGCCUCGAUGCACCCUUUCCUCGAGGCAGGCUCGACAGUCGCGGCGGUGUUGUUCGCUACCGAGGCGGUCCGGUGCUGCAGGCGUCCCGUCCCAUGUGCGCUCGGUGUGGACCGAGAUUUCCCGCAUGCGUCGGGAGGAUGUUGCGUGAUGCUCCGUGGGGCACCCUCGCCUUCGGGAGGCAGAGCUCUCGGCUCGUCGGACUGCGACAUCUUCCAGGAGAUCCUUGAGUUCGCCCUGGAUACGCCGCCCCUCAGUGGUGGAUGGCUCCGGCAUUGUUCGAAGUAGCAUCGCCGCUGUAGCUAGGUUCUGGCCGGCCCCGCUGAAGGCCGGGGGCAGCCCUGCCCUGGCAUCGUCAACGAUACAACGCUGGACGUCCCGGGCCCGAUGACGCGCUCCUCCGGCGAGUGCCUGGCCUACCCAUUCCUGCUCGAUGUUUUGUCGGAGCUGCACAAGCCACCCCGCUUCUUCGUCGAGCUUGGCCUGCAUCUCACGGAGUUGCUCGAGCUGUGUGUCCUGACCCCCCGCAGGGACUUGGACCACAGCUAGCUCCCGCGGGAUCUCGACGCGAGACGUAGGCACAUGGGCGUCGUCAUCUUCCGGCAUGCCAAGGUGGUUGUCUUCGUCGUGAUCCCCCUGAUCGAUGUGGAAACACUCAUGACUUGGGCCAUAACCCUCAUUGUCAAGGCUAUGGUCAUCGUCGGAGCAGCCGGAGAGGCAGUAGUCACAUGCGGACAUGAAGUCUCGUAUGGCACUGGGAUCACGAAGUCCGGAGAAAUCCCAACCGAAGUCGGGGUCGUCUUCUUCCUCGGAACCCGUGGGUCCGGAGGUUGAGACGCCUGUCAGUCGGUCCCAAGUUGACCACAUAUGGUACCCUGGAAGGUCAGGAUAUGCCCUUGCGAAAGCGCUCACCGAAGCGGGGUCGCUUGGUGGAUCGAAGCUGAAUCUAAAGGGAACAGGGUGGAAAACGGAUGGUACCUCUUGGUUGAUGGACGGUGGUGAAGUCGCAUCGGGGAUGGAAUGCACUGUUAUCUCAGGUACGAGGCUAACGCCCAACAAGUCCUUCGCGAGGGUGCUGGCGUCAUCAGUCCGCUUGGGGUUGGCACAUUGCUGGGAAGCGACACCCGUCGUUGUCUCAGGUGCGAGGACAACACCCGACAUGUCCCCCGCAGGGGUGCCGGCGUCGUCGACUCGCUCUGGUCUGACAACCGACGAGGUGCCAUCUCCUGCCUGGCCACGAUUGCCCCGUCUCCCCCUCCUCCGGCGAGGAGGGUGGCGGGGCAAACCCAGGUGUUCCUCUUCCGCCACGGGGGGAAGUCAUCGUCGAGUUCGCCUCCGCCGGGCGAGCCGACGACCGUCGUUGUUGUCGUGCUGUGAGGGGAGGAGUACCAUGUCGUAGCUGCCGUCGGGGGACAUGAACUCGAGAGUCCCAAAGCGGAGCACCGUCCCCGGCUGAAGAGGCUACUGAAGGCUACCCAUCUGGAACUCAAUGGGAAAGUGUUUGUCAACACACAGCAGGCCCCUACCUGGCGCGCUAACAGUCGGCGUUUCGGACCCGCGAGGACCCUCAACCGACCAUUGAAUUUGUCGCUGCGUGUCCCUGCCCAGAUGGGUUGAUGCAAGAUGGAACACAAGCGGGGGGAUGAGGCUUACAUUAUCUUGCACCGGGGUGCUCGUAGUAGGGGUUACAAGCGUCGCGGGAGAGAGAGAGAGGGUCUGGCCCUGAGGUGAGCUGUCUGAGUUAGCCUCCUCUGUGUUUCUCCCACUCUGCCUGCCUCUCUUCGCUCGCCCCGUCCGUGCCUUAAGAAGGCCCUGGACAUCCCCUUUUAUAGAUACAAGGAGAUGGCCCAGCUGUACAAUGGGGGUGUAGCUAUGUGCUAACGCGACUAGCGGAGAAGUGCCUUGAGCCCUGUACGUGUGCUAACGUGGCCGUCGGAGAAGUGCUUGAGCCCUGUAGAAGCAUAGCUGGCGGUGCGGCAUGGAUCCUGCUGACGUUUCCUUGCUUCCAUAGGGGAUUGAGAGCAAUCGACGUCAUGGGCACACGCGGGGAACCAUCAUUACUUGUUACCGGAGUAAUCUAGAUGGGACACCGGUCUUGUUCCUUCGUAGCCUGAGGCAGCUAGCUAGGGGUAGGGUAAUGAUGUAUCCCCUGCGGCGCGGUCAGUCCGAGCCCGAGGUCGGGCGAGGCGGAGACUUCUCCCGAGGCCGAGGCUGAGGCUGAGGCCAAGGCCUGGGGUCGGGCGAGGCGGAGACCUUCUCCCGAGGCCGAGGCUGAGGACGAGGCCUGAGGUCGGGCGAGGUAGAGCUCCCUGUUGCGCCCGAGGCUGAACUCGGGAGAGGCGGUGACUCAUUUUUGCCCUGGUGGUUAGCACAGUAGUCGGAACGUGGUGAAUAGUGCUAUUUUCCUGUCAGAACGGUCAGUAAAGGGUCGAAGUGACUGCGGUCACUGCGACCUUGCCAACUGAGGCGCGCGUGUCAGGAUAAGGUGUCACGCGAUCUCCGCAUUAAAUGCGCAUGCGAUACGGUCGAUUGGUAAGGCGAUUUGGCUGAGGUCGCUGCACGACAAAGUUUGCCCGAGCUUGGUUUCGGGCGAGCCGAGGAUGCGCCCACUGCCUAAGGAGGCCCUCGAGCGAGUUGUGAAUCCGUCCGGGACUACUGUUCCCGCCCGAGGCCAGGCUCGGGCGAGGCAAGGUCGCGUCCCUUGGUAGACGAGGCCUUGACUUGAACCGUACUUAUCAGUCUUUGCGGUUUGUUCUGAAGAUGUUUUCCAGCCAGGUUAAGGGGCAUUGGGGGUACCCCUAAUUACGGUCCCCGACAUAUAUAUAGUAUAAUUUUAUUAUAUAUUUUAUGAUUUUGUCAUUCAUCGAUGUUUUAAUAUAAUACUACUGUAAUGUUUUAAUAUAAUACUACUGUAAUGUUUUAAUAUAAUCCUACUCUAAACUAUUAUUUAUGUUUAUUAUAAGUGAUGUAGUAAGAUUAUAUUGUUGUAGAUUUAACUCCGUCUACGCGAAUGACCUUGGUAUGCUGAAGGGUUCCUGCGAUAGAGCGAGCAUCACCACUGUGCACUCACCCUCUAUAGCAUGGAAUGUGGCUAAGAAGGCCACAAAUAGUGCUAGGAAUUGGGCCGGGCUAACAUGGUCCGGACCUAUCGUGCUUCGGGACAAAUAGGCUCGGGCCGAGAAGGCCCAAAAAACUUUCGGGUUGUGCCAUGACAACCUAAAGAGUACAAACGGUGGCCCAACUUGGUCCUAAAGCACGUCGAGCCUUCUUCUUCGGGUCGGGUUGGCUCAAGCCUGGCUCAUAUGUGUGGGUCGUGCUAGAGCCCAACAGUCCGAAAUUUGAGGCUCGACCUAGACCUGUCUUCGAGCCGUGCUAGCCCGAUCUAUACCACAUUGUGUCGGGCCAUGCAUUGAGCUCUUAUUUCUGGACCAUGCUCGUGCUGGCUCAAAAAGACUGGCCCAUGUUACUAGCACUAGCUACGGGCACUAGGCACGAGCAACAUGUCGCACGCGGUCCACAUCCAGCAUGCUCGCCCUGUGCCACAUCGCCCUCGAUUGGUUGCAUCCUUGUGCCCUCAUCACCUUGCCCGUGCGAGCGGGUUCAUCCUUCGCUCGUGUGGAGAACGACAUAGAGACGCACGAAAGGGAAGGAUGACAAUGUUGUGCUACAGGCGAGGUGUGCAGUGUCGUGCUAUAGGCAUGCGAGAUGGCAUCACAGUGACGUGCUUAGGGUAUUAAUGAGCUCUAUAAAAUUAAAGAAUCGAAAAAUAUUUAGAUUAGUCUCUAUUUUUUAUUUAUUGUUGAACUAAAAUUAAUUAAGAUAUCAAACGAAUAGUAGAAAAACAUUUCGCGAGGUGAGCAUGCUCUAGCGAGGCAAUGGGAUGGAGAAGAGGAUUCUCGAUUCAUGAUGUGUCUGUCUAACGUCAGGACAGACGAGCUAGGUGGUGGGGAUCAACCAGGGCGGAUCUCCACCCGAGGCUGCCUGGACUGUAGCCCCGGUCGGCAUUCGUGGCCCAGCAAAGGCCCAUCGCUGCGCGACCUAGCCGCAGACGCCUAGCCCCAGUACCAGCCGCCGCUCCCUGCCUCCCUCUACGGCUCUACCCACCUCCUGCCUCCUCCAGCUCUAGACCAGCCGCCGCCCACCAACGCGCUCGCCCGCUAGUCCGCCACCGCCAGGCGCAGAUGCGCUCGCCCGCCACCGCCAGGGCGCCAGGCGUGGAGGCACAGGCGCCAGCCGCCCAGCCCAACCGCAGAGCACAGGAGCCCAGAGCCGUAGGCCGCCGCAGCCCCACAGCGCGCUCACCCGCCACCGCCAGGGCGCCAGGCGCGGAGGCGCCAGCCCGGCCGCGGAGCGCCGGAGCCUGGAGCCGCAGGCCGUCGUAGCCCGCAGCCGCGCAGCGCGCUCGCCCGCCAGGCCGCCACCGCAGGUCGCCGCAACCCGCAGUCACGCGCUACGCAAGGCAAGUAGCCCCCUCUUGGAUCAAUCGUGGAUCCAUCACUGGGAUCAACGACUCAAUUAAUUGUCGGCACGGGAAUCUAUUAAACAAACACGUGUCGUGGCCCCAUAAGAAGGCUGGUCUUGGACUAAAGAUAGAGAUACAUAUAUCAAGGUUUCCUAACGGAGACUAAUAACUAAUCUCUUUUUUCUACUACUAAAAGAAUAGUUUCCACUAUAUCGUCGUACGUCGUGCGUCAACAUUUUUGCAAAACCCCUCAUACUUCUUUGUAAUCACCGACGAUCCAAGCCAACUGUUCCUCGCCUUCUCCGUUCCUAGGGCUUUGCUCCUCCUUCCCCUCAAAUCCUACACACGACAUGCACGAUCGAUCUGCUGAUCACGAAUCCCUCAGCCACGAGCGUGGGGAUCGGCCACCGCCCGCAAUGCUGCCCACGGACCGUGUGAUCCUGCUUCUCCUCCCAAUGGACAACCUCUCUACGCGCCAGGGCUAGCUAGGCCCAUCCGGUCUGGCGCGCGGGGAACCAGUUGUGGCGUGACACAUUACCGAGUUGCACGGUGGGGCUCGUCGACCAUCGGGGCACGAAAGAAAGUUAGCCAGUUUGCAUCCUACAAUCCUGAAACCCUGGAUCGAUUUUAAGUAUAAGAGAUAAUUAAGAGACUGUAUAAUACAACUCUGAGCCUCUGAAUCAUAAAUAUAGUUAAGAAAUAUUAUGUACAGAGAGUAAUGUAAAGACAAGCUCUUCACGUCUCUUAUAUUUUUUAAUUAACCCCCCUAAAAACAUCUCAAGAAACAUUAUAUUAAAAGUGUUUGUAUAUGCCCUUAAAGACUAGUGGGAGCGAGAAAACCGAAAGGUAUUGAAGGUGCUAGAUUCUUAUUUUUAUUCAAUUUUAAAUAAUAAGAGAAAUUUAGCCCUUUAAUCCUCUCCAGUUUUACGAAUAUUAAACUAGCCCUAAACUUUGCGGCAGCACGGCGGCUAUCGCCAGUUCUCCGGCUCGCAGACCUCGUUCCCACCCCCACGCUGGUAUACACAACCUUUUCUUGUGCCUCAUGCAUUAUACCUUCUUGUACGUUUUUUGUUUGCAAGCUUUGUCACCACUGACCUCGCCCGUCGUCUCCAUAAGCGCCACUUCCGUUUAGCCACCUGCAGCUUGCCCCUCCGUCUCAUGACCAUAUAUUGUCACAACAUAUAGGUAUUGUACUAUUAAUAGACUAAUAGUAAUAUAUAUUGAUCGGUUGCUCAUGCACACACUUCUAAUAAGUACUUGGUAGCUAGAGAUGUCAAAUGGGUCGAGCUGUCUAAUAAACCCGUAGCCCGAUACAAUUUUAACCUGACACAAACAUGACCUGACCUAUUGAUUACUCGGCUCAUACUAGCCUAGCCCGAUCACUGGACCGUGUCCGGGCCUAAGACGCGACACGGUGGAUUAGGCCCGUUAUGCCCCAAUUUUAUUUUUCUAUUUUUCAUAAAAUAUCUAUAUUACACAUGAUUAUAUUUGUUCUAUUGGCUAAGUGUGUAGAUAGACUUAUAAAGCCAACAAACAUGGCUCAAAUAUUUAUUUGUGCAUAUUUUUAACCUUUUUUCUAUUAAACGUGAUAGGGUGCCUUAGACCGGUCAGACCACAUACCUGCCCCUCAUAAUUUAUAGCCAAACGGGACAUGCCUAGGGUGCUCUGCUGGUCGACACGACAUGAGCCAUAUAUCAUACCAGAUCGGGCCUGUCGCAACUCGUGCUGGGCCUUAACGAACUCUUGCUAGACUGGGUCGGACGUGUUCAUACCAGUGGCUGAUCUAGAGGGUAGAUAGGGUGGGCCCUGGUCCACUCUCUGGUUUUGAUCCUACUUAAGUAUAUAGAUGGUUUUGGUCCAUUCUUUAGGGGAGCGAAAAGUAAUGGAGUGCGUUUAAAAAUGCGAGGAUAGCGGAGGGGCAUCUUACUACACUUCUUGCGCUCAUGGCGCUUAGAAGUGACGGACGCCGAUUCGGAGCCGGAGGUGGAGGGUGACGAAGAGUCGGUCUCAUAGUAGACCACUUUCUUCAUCUUCUUCUUGUCACCUCUCCGUUGUGACUUGAUGGAGGAAGAGGAUUCCUCCUUGUGCUUGUGGCCGGACUCCCUCGAAUGAGUUCUCCCCGAGCUUGCGGACUUGUCACCGCCGGUCACGAUCUCCCUCUUGGCGUGAUCUCCCGACAUUACUUCGAGUGGUUAGACUCUAAUGAAGCACCAGGCUCUGAUACCAAUUGAUAGUCGCCUAGAGGGGGGGGGGGGUGGUGAAUAGGCGGAAUCUGAAAUUUACAAACUUUAAGCACAACUACAAGCCGGGGUUAGCGUUAGAAAUAAAACGAGUCCAAAAGAGAGGGCGAAAACAAAUCAACCAAGGAAAUAGAGCGGAUGACACAGUGAUUUGUUUUACCGAGGUUCGGUUCUUGCAAACCUACUCCCCGUUGAGGUGGUCACAAAGACUGGGUCUCUUUCAACACUUUCCCUCUCUCAAACGGUCACUUAGACCGAGUGAGCUUUCUCCUUAAUCAACGGGUCACUUAGACCCCUCACAAGGACCACCACAACUUGGUGUCUCUUGCUUUGAUUACAAGUUGCUUGAGAACAAGAAUGGAGGAAGAAGAAAAGCGAUCCAAGAGACAAGAACUCAAAUGAACACGAAAAUCUCUCUCUCACUAGCCACUAAGUGUUUGGAGUGAUUUUGGACUUGGGAGAAGAUUUGAUCUCUUGUUUGUGUCUUGGAGUGAAGUCUAGAGCUCUUGUAUUGAAUGCAAUAUGCUGGAAACUUGUAUGCCUUGAAUGGUGGUGGUUGGGGGGUAUCUAUAGCCCCAACCACCAAAACAGCCGUUGGGGAGGGCUGCUAUCGAUGGGCACACCAGACACUGUCUGGUGCGCCAACCACGUCACCCAACCGUUAGGGUUCUGACGGUUUCGACCGUUGGAGCUCUGACAGCCUGGGCCACCGGACAGUCUGGUGCUACACCGGACAGUCACUGUUCACUGUCCGGUGCGCCUUCUGGCGCUGCUCUGACUCUACGCGAACUGUCUGUGCACUGUUCACGUUGCAGGCAACCGUUGGAGUCGACUGUUGCGCUUGGGAGCCGUUGCUCCGCUUGCACACCGGACAGUCCGGUGACCCACCGGACAAUCCAGUGAAUUAUAGCGGAGCGCGGCCUCAGAAACCCAAAGGUGAAGAGUUUGAAUUCGAUCCACCAUGGUGCACUGGACACAGUCCGGUGGCACACCGGACAGUCCGGUGCACCAGACCAGGGUUCACUUCUAUUUCUUUUGCUCCUUUCUUUUGAACCCUAAUUUUAAUCUUUUUAUUGGUUUGUGCUGAACCCUUGGCAACUGUAGAACAUGUAAUCUAGGGCAAACUAGUUAGUUCAAUAUUUGUGUUGGACAAUUCAACCACCAAAAUCAUUUAGGAAAAGGUUUGACCCUAUUUUCCUUUCAAUAGGAAAAGGCUAAACCCUAUUUCCCUUUCAAUUACCAAACACAUAGUCAAUCAUUAAGAUUUAGACUGAUAUGCACAACACUAUGUUAUCCAUAAGGGUCCUUCAGGGGCUCAUGCAUACCAUUCGUCAUUUGGAGCCUGUAGUUGACUUCCGAUCAACAAGUAAAAUAACCAUCAGGGUCUAGCGCCCACAAGGACAUUCACUGGUUGCAUUUUGCUUUUAAGCACAUAGGAGAAUAUGUGCGUAGAUAAUGGUGUUAAAGUGCACGACAUCAGGCCUAUGCUGCCAAGUAGAGACUUUUAUAUGCAGAGAUGUAUAGUCCCGCUCGUUUUAUUAUUGCCCAUGGUUUACCCAAUUACUCAUACCAGUUUGAAAUUGUGUAUUAAUUUAUACAACAUUUUUAGGUAUUAUAAUUUUGAGAACUUAUAACAAUAGUCAAUUAUUUGUAAUGUAAGAUGCCAGCGGGGCAAACUUUUCUCCUGAUAUUAUAUACCAAUUUGUUUUAUAAAGCAUUAUUUUGAUCUCUUCAUUAUUCGGCAAAAAAGAGAAGCUUUGGAAUAGAACAUACAAGGCCAAUAAUUCGUUCUAUCUGGGAAAAACCACCUGAUUGCUAAGCUUUCGAUUAAGCAAAUGGUGAUUGUUGAACAACGUAGUUGUCGCAGAUCUCCGAUCCGGACUCCGAACCCUCCCAACAGUAGUAGGGACAUGAGAAGUUGUAGAAGCCCGCUCCCUUCCUAGUAACCCAACACAGAGAGGAACAAGAGACACAGUGGAUGAAAGCUCUUUCUGUCUAUCUUUAUUAUGAGGCGCAUGGAUACAUAUAUAUAAGCUGUGAACCCCCUGAGGGCAGUUUCGAUAUUAGCCCAUUAAACCUCUUUUAGGGUUUCUCAACACUCCCCCUUGGGCGAAUACCAUGACGAAUUAUGUCUCAUCAAAACUCCGAAAAACCCAGUGGGAAAAAAUGGAGAAAAGAGAGCAUAGUGUGACUCGAUGUAUUGCACUUGUUGCCUCGCUAAAACCAUCUGUGAGAAACUUCAGGAAAACUCACAAUGGGAAAAAGAGUGCAACGGGUGUCUUCAGGACAACCAUAACCUUCAAGGUGUAUAAUAUACGAUUUUUAGGUCGAAUUGUAAGGGCUGAAGUUCAGAGGUGAUCUCCCCCUGAACCCUGCAGGUCUCUCAAAUUCCUCAUCCCUAUACCUCGUACACAUUUUCUGAAUGUGACUGCAGGUAAGGAUUUAGUGAAUAAAUCAGCCAGAUUAUCACAAGACUUGACUUGCAGGAUUUUUAGCUCACCCUCGUUCUGGAUUUCAUGAGGAUAAAAAUACUUAGGACAAAUGUGCUUAGUCAUAUUGCUCUUAAUAUAGCCCGUUUCCAUUUGUGCAACACAUGCAACAUUAUCUUCGUAGAUAAUGGUGGGGGUAUUUGCGGUGGUAGAACCACAUGACUUCUGGAUGUGGUUAGUCAUCCGUCGUAGCCAAGCACAUUCUCGUGCGGCUUCAUAUAACGAGAUUAUUUCUGAGUGGUUAGUAGACGUUGUUACUAAUGUCUGUUUGCAUGAUCUGACUGAUAUCUAGCAUCAGCAUCAGCAUAGCCCACCAUAGUCUGGUCCUGAUUCUUCGGGAAAAACAUGCCAAGAUCUUGAGUGCCUUUGAGGUAUCUAAGUAUAGUAUUAACACCUACCCAAUGUCUUCUGGUUGGGUCUACACUGUAUCUAGCUAGUAGAUUUACUGCGAAUGCAAUAUCAGACCUGGUGCAGUUCGCAAGGUACACCAGUGCUCCAAUAGCGCUAAGGUAAGAAACUUCAGGUCCCAACGAUUUCUCAUCAUCGCUCUUUGGUCUAAAUGGGCCAGUAUCCAUUUCGAGGGAUUUAGAUCUCUCAAGGACCUUUUUACACUAGGUCGACUGGUGAUAAAUAUUCCUUCUAGGAGAUGCUCGAUCUGCAGGCCCAAGCAAAACUUGGUUUUUCCUAAGUCUUUCAUUUCAAACUCUGUCUUGAGGUAGGCGCUGGCCUCCUCAAUUUCCUGAGCAUAUCCAAUGAUGUUCAAGUCAUCAACAUAGACCGAAACUAUGCAAAAACCCUUCUGGGAUUUUCUAAUGAAUACACAAGGAGAAUCUGGAUUAUUUACGUAUCCCUUCUUCAGGAGGAAUUCGCUGAGCCGAUUGUACCACAUCCGCCCAGAUUGUUUAAGCCCAUACAACGCCCUCUGCAACUUAACGCUGUACAUGUUGCGAUUUGACUUGGCAUCCGGAACUCUCAGCCCAUCCGGGACCUUCAUAUAGAUUUCCGAAUCCAAAGACCCAUACAAGUAUGCGGUCACUACGUCCAUCAUCUGCAUUUUCAAGUUUAAACCUGCUGCCAGUGAUAUUAAAUAUCGGAACGUUGUGCCACUCAUUACCGAGGAGUAAGUUUCAUUGUAAUCGAUGCCGGGUCUCUACGUGAACCCUUGUGCUACAAGUCUCGCUUUGUAUCUCACCACCUCAUUGUUCGCAUCCCUCUUUCGGAUGAACACCCAUUUGAACCCGACUAGGGUAACAUUGGGGGGCAUGCGGGCGACAGGCCCAAAUACUUGCCUCUUUGAAAGCGAGAGCAAUUCCGUCUCUAUUGCUUCCUUCCAUUUGACCCAAUCUGAGCGCUUCUGGCACUCUGCCAUGGACUUUGGUUCAGGAUCCUCAGCAAUCACAACAGCGAUCAUAGAGACGAAAUCAGUGUCGACAAUUGUAGUCUUUCGAUUAUAUAACUCUCCCGUCUCAACAUAGUUUAUGGCAAUUUCUUCAACUGAAUCAUCCGGUUCUUUGUGAUUUCCCAAGUUAUUUGAAACCGGUUGUUCCAAAGUCCUUGUGCUUUUAUUUGUGCGACAUUUGCACUAGGACGUUCACCUUCAAGGUGUGUUACUGCUGGAACAUCUGAAAGGAAGCGUGUUGCAUUCUCUUCAGUAACUUGCUGGUGCAGGCGUCCCCGCUUAGCUGAUACUGAAUCAUCCGGUUUUCUCCCCCUUUUCCUAGGAUGGGGAGUACGAGUAGAGUCCAUACCCUGCAGAGGUAUCUCCACUCUCUCCGGUGCAUUUGCCGCAGGAUUAUGUGACUUCGACACUCUUAUAUCAGUAAAGGCAUCUGGCAGAUUAUUUGCUAAGUUUUGCAGGUGUAUUAUUCGUUGAACUUUAAGUUCAGUUUCUCUAGUGCGUGGGUCAAGCGAUUGUAUGCUACUAGCACUCCAUUCUAUUUCUCGACAUUCUUUAUUAUUAAGGUACAAUCCUCCCCUAAUGCUGGGAAAUGCUCUUCAUCGAAGAUGCUAUCAGCAUACCGAGCCGUGAACAGAUCCCCAGUUCUAGGCUCUAAAUAUUUGAUUAUGGAUAGAGAUUCAUAACCAACAUAGAUCCCCAACUUCCGGUGAGGUCCCAUAGAUGUACGCUGGGGUGGUGAUAUCGGCACGUAUACAGCACAACCGAAUUUUCGCAGAUGGGAAACCACUGGUUGUUGACCACGCAUUAACUGGUGGGGAGAAGCAGAGUGGUAAGCAGAUGGUCUAUAUUGGAUUAAGGCCGCAGCGUGCAAAACUGUGUGUUCCCAACAACUGGUUGGGAGUUUGCUAUCUUGUAGAAGUGGCCUGGCUAUGAAUUUUAUUCUUUUAAUUAAGGACUCGACAAGUCCAUUCUGUGUAUGGACAUGUGGUACAUAAUGCUCUACAUUUAUGCCCAUAGCAAGACAAUAUUCAUUAAUGGCUUUGAGGUAAACUCUCUGGCAUUGUCCAUCCUGAUUGACUGAAUGCGGUUCUCCAGGAAGCUCGCACGCAAACAGAUAAUUUGGGCAAUAAAUUUUGCAAAUGCGUGGUUCCGCGUGGACAACAGGCACACAUGGCUCCACUUAGUAGAAGCAUCUAUAAGAACCAUAAAAUAUCUGAAGGGCCCCAAUAGGGGGUUGAUUGGACCACAGUUAUCACCCUAAAGUCUCUGCAGGAAACUCGAGGACUCAACCUUUACUUUUAGGUAAGAGGGCUUAGUUAUCAGUUUUCCUUUAGCACAAGAGACGCAUAGAAAGUUUUUAGGAACUUGUGUGGUUUUUAUGGCAUGGCCAAUAGAGCUAGUUAUGAUGUUCUGCAUCAUCCUUAAUCUAGGGUGUCCUAGUCUUUCAUGCCAUACUCGAAAAGACUCGGGAUUUUUAAAUAUAGUAGACAUCGCAACAAAUUCAGGGGGUGGUUUAAUUCUUGAGUAAUACAACCCAGAGGAGGUGCCUUGCGCUUUCUCUACCACUUUUGUUUCACAUUCGUCCGUUGAUGUGAUAUGGAGGUAUUUAGCACCACUCACACAUGUAGUUGUAAUGUGAUAGCCGCUACGACGGAUAUCUUUGAACGUGAGGAGAGUACGAGUUGCUCCUGGGUAUAGGAAUGCUUCUUCAAUGAAGAUCCUAGUACCGUUAGGGAGGACAACAAUGGCUCGACCGGAGCCUACAAUGCGGCCAUUGUUACCGACAAUUGUAGUGAUAUUCUCAGUCCUCUUUAGGAGUGCCUGAAAAUAUUUUGUCUCUCUAAGAAUCGAAUUUGUGGUUGCGCUAUCAAUCAAGCAUGGUUCAUCGUUUUCCUCCAUCGUGGGAAGUGAGUCUUGUUCUAUAUAAAUAAUAUAUAAUAUUGAUUCAGUUCAUCAUUCAUGAUGACAACAUAUAAUAGAGCAAGAAGAAUUAAACCAUGAAUGAGGAAUAAAUAAAAUUGCAAAGCAAUUAAUCUCAAUCAACCAAAUAGUAUGAGCUCAGCAGGAGCAUUUAUUACAGCAUAAUCAAAUAAAUGUUCUUCUAGAAAUAAAGUUACUGUGGAAAUAAAUGUGGAGCUAAUGGCUGAUAACAUGAUCGACUACAGGAGAUCAUCAGUAUCGAAAUCGAAGUCGACCUUGCCUAACGAAGUAUGGUUCUUAGUUGUGGCAUCAACAUUUAUGGUAGCAUGCUCAAACUGUGCAGUAGGCUGAGGCAACUCAAGGUGCUCUCCAGUUGUGGUGUCUGAGGCUCGAAGAAGAGGCUCGGCUCGUUUCCAGCCCUAGUGGUGUCUACAGGCGCCUGGAUAAAGUGAGCCUCUCAGUUCUGGCGUUUCUUCCAAUCCUGAUAUAUGUCAAUCAGGUAGUUCUCAGUGGUGCAUGUACGGGACCAGUGCUGCUGAGACCUGCACCUGAAACAUCCUUCGCCAGCAUGCUUUGAGACACUUGCAUCGCCCUGCUAGGGGUUGCUUUUGCCUUUGCCUUUGCCUUUGCCUUUACCACGACCAUUGUUGUUGCUACUGCCGCUGCCAUUCUGUGCCUGCUUCUUAAAAGUUCCCCUUGUCGGCCCCUGAUUAUUGCGGCGCCCACCACCCCUUCCUCUGGAGGAGCCUCUCUUCCCCUGAGACGAGAAGUUUGCAUGUGCUUCCGGUACGACCACGACCCCUUCUUCUGGAGGAGCCUCUCUUCCCCUGAUUAUUGCGGCGCCCACGACCCCUUCUCUGUCUGGUGCUUCUGCUGCAGAUAGGACUUCUCAAUAUGGUGAGCACAAUGAUGAUCCUUCUAAGUUAGCUACACACCAAGAAAACUUGGUGGUUUCAGAUAUCAACGUCCCACCUAACAGUUCAUGUAGCAAGGCUAUUGAUGAUAUAGUUGAAUUUGGGGACAUGUGUGAUGUGCAAAUUGAAGAGGAAAGAGUUACAAAGUUCCAACCAAAGGUGCAAACGAAGCUGAAAGGGAAAUAGGGUCAAACCUUUUCCUAAUUGAUUUUGGUGGUUGAAUGGCCCAACACAAAUAAUUGGACUAACUAGUUUGUUCAAGAUUAUACAUUCUACAGGUGCAAAAGGUUCAACACAAACCAAUCAAAAGAACAAGUUAGGUCUCAAAAGAAAGGAGCAAAAGGAAACCGAAGGCUGCCCUGGUCUGGCGCACCGGACAGUCCGGUGUGCCACCGGACAGUGUCCGGUGUACCAGGGUGAAUCAGCUUGAACUCUUCACCUUCGGGUUUCCUAGACGCAGCUCCGCUAUAAUUCACCGGACUGUCCGGUGAGUCACCAGACAGUGUCCGGUGCACCACCGGACUGUCUGGUGCACCAGCGGAGCAACGGCUAUCUACGCGCAACGGUCGACUCUGACGGAUGAACAGUGCCGCGGUAGAAGUCAGAGUAGCGGUCAGAGGGGCACCAGACUGUCCGGUGCCACAUGAGUACAAAGUCUCCAACGGUCGACCAGCUCAGAGACCUAACGACAGGGUGAUGUGGCGGCGCACCAGACACUGUCCGGUGGCGCACCGGACUGUCCGGUGCGCCCAUUGCCAGCAGCCUUCUCCAACGGCUACAAUUUGGUUGGUGGCUAUAAAUACCACCCCAACCGGCCACUUCAAAGAGAGGGAGCCCAAGCAACAUUCCAAGUCAUCUAGUUGACAUACUCAAGCCCUCCCAACCACAUAUAUUCAUUGAUCCAUCCUAUGCGCAAGAUUUAGGCCACUACAACCAACACAAGUGCCACAAAAGAGAGCUAGCAAAAGAAAGCCUCUAGUGUGAUUUUAGCAAGAGUGCCUUGUGAGAAUUAUUGGGAGUUAGUGAGCACUACAUCUUGUGAUCAUUUGUGCGUGGAGUUUUGACUCUCAUUGAACUUCCUCCAAAGUUUUGGAGGCUUGUAAAAGCUAGCAAGAGACACCAAAGAGUGUGGUGAUCCUUGUGGGGUCUUAAGUGAUCCUUGAGAAGAAAAGAGCUCGCCGAUCUUGAGUGAUCGGUGGAGAGAGGGAAAGGGUUGAAAAAGACCCGUCCUUAGUGGACUCCUCAACGUGGACUAGGCCUUCGAGGGCCGAACCUCGGUAAAACAAAUCACCCGUGUCCAUUGUGUUUAUUGCUUGUGAUUUGUUUGUUUUCCCUCACUCUAAGUUUUUCUUGCACUAUUCUUUGCUAACCUUAUUUGGUGUUGCUUUAAGUUAAAUUCUCAUUUAGUGAAGCAACACAUUGCAAGAAAGAACUCGUGGCAUUACUCUUCUCAUCUAAGCCUUCUUGCUUUAUUCUCAUAGACUUGUUAGUAGUAUUGAUUUAUCAAUUCCGCAUUAUUUAAGAGCAAUACUCUUUACAAGCAAGAACUUAGUUUUCAUACUCCGAUAAUUGUAUAUCUUGUUCUAACCACUAAUCAAGGGAUCUAGUUGGGGGAUAAAAUUUUAAUUUUCAGGUUCCGCCUAUCCACCCCCUCUAGGCGACUUUCAGAAGCCCCUUAAGGAAAUAGCCAAAUCUCGGAAGACUAACCAAAAGGUGGAAACUUCCACUGUAGAUGUGGUUACACAAAAUGGAAAGGGCAAUAAUAUUCAGACAAGGCUCCAUGGCGAUCAGGUACAGGAUCUUUGCAGAUCCUAGAUUCUGAAGGAUUAUUAGCAACUGAUAAUAGUAAAGGUUGCAAUUUAGCUAACCUCGACAAUCUCCUUGAGGAGUCAGUCCAAGAGGAAACAAUAGCUAAGUUUCAUUCUGAUUUGCAACCAAAUCUCGGGAAGGCUUCAUCCCAGGUUGCUGCGAUUAAAAUUAAUGUUGUUGCUGUUGCUCCAAUAGUUGGAGUUUGUGACAGCAACAAUGACAUGUACAAAGAACCUAAAGAUCAAGAAACCAAGUGGCAUGCUGAUGUUAAUUUAGACAAUCACAAUGAACCAAUUAAUCCUCCUAUUGAUGGUACUCAAUCAAUGUUUGGCGAAGUCCCAGGUACAGGUUUUACAGGUGAAACUUCUUUCUUUCGAUGUACUGUGUGUUCUUUACUUUGAACAAUUGCAGUGCGGAUGACCUCAUUGUUGUUUACAUUUGACUAUUUGUGGGCUAUUUUUUGUGGACAAACAUUUCACUAGAUUAAAUGGUAUUGAAAUUACUUUUGUUAGAUGUGUGAUAUUGUCACAAUAAUACUUGAGUAUGAGCUUUGAGCUCUGUCAUGCAGGCUUGUGUUUGUGCACAGAUGAUCAGGUCAAUGAUUUAAUGCUAUUUUAAAGCUGCAAUUUGUGUAUCUGAGCUGUUUUUAGACACAAGUGGUGUUUGCUGAAACAGUUUUUUGAGGUCUAAACUAACGGUUUGUAGUUUCCUUCACUUGCUACCGAAAUAUUUAACGAACCCUAAACCCUAUUUUACUCACUGAAAUUUCCAUUUAUUACAGUUGUAUUUACUUUAAGUCUCAACAUACUGUAGGAAGAGAAAAGGGAAAAUCAAAAUCUGUAUCUUUUGCUCUAUCGGAUGCUUCUGGGAUAGCUAGCCCUAUAGAUACCAAUUCUGAGAUGGGUAACAUCGGCGAUUCCUGUAGUGACAAAUUGACUGAUGAAAAUUUAAGUAACUCAUCUCGUCAUAUCGCUGAAAAGGUCAGUAUAAUUCUGCUUAGAAGAUGUAAUGAUCUAUAUUUACAUGGCUACUACAAGGUUUCUCCUUAAUCUCUUUCUUUUCCCCUUUCUUUCAGCAUUCUAUUACCAAGGACCAAUAUUCAAAUGAGCAGGACCAUGAGCGGGAGCCACUAGAUCAUGCUGUUCAACAACAACCAAAGUCAGAUGUUGGAGAAAGAGCAUCAUCUAUGAAACGACGUUGCAAGAAAAAGGUGCAAAAAGUUGGGACACCUAAUCACACUGUUGAUGAUUAUUUUGGUGAAGACUGUGUUGAACCUUCAUUAGCUGAAGAAGAUAACGAUACUGGUGAUCAUUACACUACUGGUAAUAAGCAUAAGGCUAGGAAAAAGUC
rnacentral:lncRNA from 1 species